CUUAUGUCCUUUUUGUUUUUGCUAAGUUUCAACUAAUACACUCGGUAUUUAUCUUUGUGCUUAUGUGAUAGAUUUGUUAUGCACUGUAGUGAUGUGGGGUGUUUCCUUAUUUUCUGCAUCUUAACUACCUUAUUUCCUGCAUUUUAACUACCUUAUUUCCUGCAUCUUAAAUACCUUAUUUUCUGAAUCUUAGUUGGUACUGAAAUUUGGUUUGUUUCAGUGAAAGAGGCACUAUCAGCAUUGACAUGUACAUGUGAUUUUAGGCAUGAACCAGGAGAGUGAGAGUUUUAGUGUGCCGUGUUUAGAAUUUGCCGAUAUCUUUUUCCCGUUCCAGCAAGUAUUCCUGAUUGUGGGGGUAACUCUCAAGUCUGCAGUCUUUUCUUCAUGAAAUUUGUAGAUUAUCUAAGAAUACUAAUAUCAUUUAAUGUUGACAUUUUUUUAGCAACUUUUCUUAACCCCACUUUUUGAAUUUCAUUAAGUUUACUCUUGUUUAAUUGACAGAUUCUUCCAGUAAUGCUAGAUAUUGGUACUAACAACGAGAAGUUACUUAAUGAUUCUCUUUGUAAGUGAAAGGGAAACCUUCAUGUCGUUUAUCUCCAUAUUUUCCAUGUAAUGUAUUGUGCUUAUAUUGAUCUGUUUCUGUUGUCAAUGGCGAUAUAUUUGGGUUUUUUGUUGUUGUUGUGGUGGUGGUGGUGAAAUAUUUUAUUUAAGUCUCUAGUUAAUAUUUAUGCUUACUUAACAGAAAAUUUGUUGCUUGAGCUUGCUUCAUUUGGUUCUUUUACUUGUUUAAGUCCUCCUCUAACUAAUUAUACAUUUCGUCCUUUUACUUGUUUAAGUCCUCCAAAAAGUAUUCAUUACUUUAAUAAAUUCCCUCACCAGCAUCAUCACCUCUUAUUCAACAAACUGUUUUUUCCCAAAAGCAAAAAAGGAAAAAAAAAAAAAAGAUAAAGACAAUCAAGAACAACCAUCAACUACAUGAAAAAAAAAGAGAAGAAAAAGAUAGCUACCGAAAAACAUUACUACCCAUUUUCAUUAUCAUCAUCCUCUACUAUGCUUUUCCACCUUCUUCUAACCCAUUUUUCCAUUGCAGGAUUUAUUGGAGUUGAGGAGUCCCACAAUCUUUAUGUUCUGUUUGUUUUUCCAUACUUUUUCAAGGCUGUUCAAUUGGAGUUCCAUCUUCAGGUAAUAUUAAUGUGUUUGUUUCUAAGAUAAUUUUGUUAAACACUUGUUUUUGUUGUCCCCAUCCACCAGCUGUUUGAUGAAAUGCCGCAUUGAAUAAUUUUGUGGGUUCUUGGGAAGCGUGUGAUCUAUGUGUUGUGGAAUUUGUAUAAUUAGUUAGAGUGAUUUAGGAAAACUUUUGUAUUUGUAGUUGAAUAGAUAAUUCAUUCCAUAUUUAGAGCAUGAUUAAGAGUUAUUUUGAAAUUGUUAAAAUUACUUCAAAAGAUAUUUGGAUAAUUUAAAUGACUUUCUAUUGUAUGUUGAUCACGUUUGAUAGAUCGAAAACUUUUCUUCUUCUUCUUCUUCUUUGUUUCUUCCUGCUGCCUAUUUGACCUGCAACUUUGAGUGUAGUUGCUUGGCUGUCUAAUUGCCACCACUCAAAGUCACUCCUUCGCCUUCUUAUCACUCUUAAUUUUCUUGACAACAAAGUCAAACUGCUACAGAACAAUCGAAUUUUCGUUUGAUUAAUUUUCUAUCCACAGGAGGCUUUUGUAUGUUGAUCACCCUUGUUUUCUUUGAAAAGUUUAAAAUUCCAUACACGAUAUAUUGGGAAACUUUCACAUUCCUCGGGACAUUAAAAGCUCAAGAGCAUUGAUUUUGAGCAAAAUAAAAAUGAAAAUCCCUUUUAAUUUCCAGCAACACCAUAUUUGAAGUUCAUUGUAUUUUCUUCUUCCAACUACAGGUUGACGUGAUUGUCUUGACAGAUGGAAGUCGUAUUCUUGGCCUCGGUGACCUUGGAGUUCAGGGAAUAGGAAUACCUAGAUUGGAGGGAGAAGAGUAUCUAUCUAUUGUUGAUGAAUUUAUGGAAGUCGUGCAUACAUGUUGGCCUAAAGCUAUUGUUCAGGUUUAUUGGUUAAGAUAUCAAAUUUUUAACUGUGUUCACUGCCAGUAAUCAGUAUCGUAAUCUCGCAAUUUGAUUUUGAAUGAUGCCAGUUUGAGGAUUUUCAAAUGAAAUGGGCUUUUGAAACAUUACAACGUUAUCGUAAGAGGUUCUGCAUGUUCAACGAUGACAUACAAGUGAGUAGUUCAUGUUGUAUUCAUGCAGUUGAUAAUUACUUAAAAGGACAUUCAUUUUCGUUUAUUUCAUUUCAUAAAGGGAACUGCUGGUGUUGCUCUCGCUGGACUAUUGGGAAAUGUGAGAGCUCAAGGGCAGCAUUGAGUGAUUUUGUUAACCAAAAGAUAGUAGUGGUAGGGGCUGGAAGGUAUUGUCAGCUGUUUAACUUUAACAUUUUCUCCAAAUAGCAAUACUGCUAACUAUUUAGGGAUCAUAAGCCUUGUCCUCUUUGUUGAAACAAAAGUGGUUGUUUGAAAGAGAAUUAAUUACUAUUACUAUUACUAUUACUAUUACGUGAAUAUAAGAGAAAUGAAAACUUUGGAAACUAUAGUUCAAUCCUUUUGGUUUAACCUUCAUUUGUUUCAACAUGCUGUUUUUUCUCCUCUUUCAACUUCAGUGUUGGGCUCGGUGUUCUUAACAUGGCUAUUCAGGCUGUUUUGAGAAUGGUAGGGAACAACGAUUCUACUGCAAGAAAUCGAUUUUUUUUCUAAUAGACAAAGAUGUAAGAAUCUUUUUCAAACUUUCAUUUCUCAAUUUAUGCAUCAGUCUGUCCAAGUUUUUCCUUCCAUGAGAGUUACUGAUUUCAGAAACCAAUCGGAUGGGGUUUGGAAUUUGGGUAGCUUUAUUAUGGGUUAAUUUGUAUGACGCAGUUUCGUGUGAAAAGUAUGAGGCAGUUGAAGAAGUUAAAUGACUUGUGGUGGUAGUAAUCAGUGUCAAACUCAUGUGGUUUUUAACUUACAAAGAAAGAGGAAAAAUAUCAACUUAGUCCGAUGCAGAUUAGGGUUUUAAGUCUUCUAUCUAAUUGUUUGUGUGAUAAAUGCAGUUACUUUAUCAAAAACAAAGAAGAAAAGGAAGGGACCACAAGAUUCUUUAGUAUUUUAAUUUUAUUGCAUUACAUUAUAUUCAAUCUUCAUUUUUCUUGGUUGUGCUGCAAAUGGUGUUUCUUCUAUUAUGGAUUUGCAUUAUACAACAUUGCCAUAUUAAGUCAUAAAGUUAUGAAAAUUAGAAACACACCCUUUGUAGGAGAGAACAUGAUCCUUCCUUUGAAGUAAAUUGAGAGAAUUUCCUCUACUGCCUCAAUUUUAAGGCUUGAGGUUUGAAGAACAAGGAUGAAUAAUCAACGAAAAAGGAAUGAAGAGGUUUCUCGUUUAGGGAAAAUAGCGAUUUUUCGUUUUUCAUACUUCCAAAACGACACAAGUAUGAACUUAUUGUGUAUUAAAUUGAUCGAGAGGCCUUCCAAUUGUUUGUUAAUCUAUAGUUUCUGUCUCUAUUUUAAUUAACUGCUACAUGUAGAAGCCUAACUAACUUAGUUAGAGUUCUAUCAAAAAAAGGAAAGAAAAAAAGGAAGAAGAAAGAUCAUGUGAUAAAUUUAUAGAAAUGCCAUGCAAUUAUUUUCUAACUAUUAAUUUAUGUUUCUGUGGUAAAUUACUGCUACUAGAAAUCUAAUUGUGUUCGGUUAGUUAGACUUCAUGGGUUUGAUUUUUUUUUUUUUUUUGUUAAAGAGGUUCCAUAAGUAUACCGAUGGUUUUGAAAUUUUGAUUUGAUGCAUGUCUGAGAAAUUUCAAGGCUAAAUUAUACAGAAUACCCAUAAACUUUGUACUUUAUAUAAAAAUACCAUUGAAAAUACACUCAAAACAUAAACUACCAAAAGUGUUAAAAAUACAGUUAAUAUAAUUAUCCUAAUUUUAGUAAUAAAUGAAAUUGAGAGAACUUUCUUUGAUUUUCAGGAACAAGGAUGAAUAAUCAAUGAAAAAGGAAUGAAGAGGUUUAUCCAUGCAAGCUUCAAACCAAAGCCAAGGAUGUCGAUCCUUCCAGGGGAGUCCAAAGUUCUCCCUUAUUUUUCUCCCUUUAUUUUGAUUUUCAAAAGUUUGCAAUUUUUUAAGUGGGGGUGGGCAAUUGCUUGCAUGUUUAGUCUAAACUUGGAGGUUCAAAUUUUGCCCAAAUUUCAAAAUUUCUAAAAAAAAUUUCCUUACAAUAAUGAGCACUAUACCUUCUUAGAUUACUUAGAUCUUGCAUAAAAAGCAUGACUAGCAACCCUUGAUCACUGAGCUUGGGUUUGUGAUGUAAAAUUCUGAAUGUUGAUGAGUAUAUGUGCUGAAAUUUGAGAAUAAGCUGCCGUGUUUUUUGGUUUAAGCCCAUUUUUAGCGAUAUCUUAUGGAGAUGUGAAUGCAUGAUUGAGAAAAUGGUAUGUGUGUUGUGAAUGCUUGAUUGCAUGCAUAUAAUAAAUAAGUGCAUGGAUACUUUUCUAGCUUUGUCUUCCUUUGUUUCUUUGCCAUGACUUACCUAUGAUGCGCUUAGUCCAAACCUAGCCUAGAUAGAGUUAAAAAAGGAUAGGAGGUACUCUUUAGAAAUUGAGAUGGUUUUAACAAAUUUGUCUUGUCAAACAUGAGUUUGGAGCCUCUUGUCUAGCCACAAUGAACUAAAUCCCUUUAGAAAGGGUGGGCAUUAACAAAUCUUGUUGUCACUUCGAAGGGAGCAGUCAAACUUAGAAACUAAGUGUAGAACCAUAGAAAGGUUACCCCAUCGGUUAUUGUGUGCGUACCAAAGAAAGAAAAGAGAGACUUGCAAAUGUAAAACUUAAGACAGCGAGACAAUUAAGAGCUAAAAAAAACAAAGAACAUAUGCAUUAUACAUCAGAAAAAUCCCAUAAAAAAAUGAAGGGAAACUUCACUUUUGGCCUAACCAAAAGCAGACCACCUACUCUUAGCGUUCUAGACAUAGCAUUGAGUUUGAUGAGGGCUUUGAAAAGAGGAGGAAUCCUCCCCGUUCCACACUAGGGGAAAAACGAGACUUGUCACUCCGAAGGGAGCAGUCAAACUUAGCAUUGAGUUCAAGGUAUCCUUCUUAGAUUCUUGAAUCAUGACUACAUUAGGACUACAAUGAGCACCAUUGUUAUGGAUCAAAAUAAAGUUCCAAAUGUUCAUCCAAUCGUGCCAUCAAAUGUGUCAGAAGGAAAUAUUCAUGUUAGCAUUGGAAAGACGUCAAUAGCAGUGGAAAGAAUUGAAGAAAAAAGUGAAACAAAAGUGAAUGGAGACAGGAAAAUGAAAUUAUCCCAGAAAAGCCAACAAUGUGUAGCAAAUGGUACAAACAAGAGUUGAGAAAAGAUGGGGCGUGAUUUCAUGGUUUCAAAUGGGAAGUCAUCAUGUGUAUUUAAGGGGAAAAUAUUUUGUUUUUCUAGUUCCUUUCCAGAAGAUCGGGUAUGUUGUAAAGAUUCUUUCCUCUUAUUUCAAACAGCAUGAUUAAUGUACACUAUGCACUUUAGGUUUUAGAUGUAUUAUUGUGGUAAAUAGCAUCCAUUUUUUAAAAAAAUAACAAAGUAGAAGCCCUGUAUUCAAUAUCAGUUGACUUGAGUAAAGAGUAGUUCAUUACUGCUCCAACUCCAUGAUUUUAAAAGCAAGUCAAUGGUGCAGAUAGGAUUCUAGAUCUACUGUUUCUUUAACACUCCGAUCCUGUUAAGAGAAUGAUAUAAAAAAAAUGGAAAAAUUACCUUUUUAGUCCCCAAUUUUAUAGAAAUAGGUUUAUUGGUCCUUGAGUUUUCAAAAUGUACUCUUUUAAUCCUUGAGUGCUUAAUGUUAUACUGGAGACUCUCAAAACCAAUUUUUAGAAGAAGUUAUUCUACCUUAAAAAUGUAUAAAGUUAUAUUGGGGACUUUCUAAACCAAUUUUUAUAAACUUAGAGACUAAAAAGGUGCAUGACCAAAUGGGUCUAUUUUUCUAAACCUGGAGACUAAAAAUGUACAUUUUUAAAACUCAAGAACCAAACACACGUGUUCUUCAAAACCAAAACUUGGGGAGUAAUUUUCCUAAAAAAUUUAAGAUAGUGCCAAAUGUCAUUUAGCAUGUGAAAUAAUUACGAUUUUCAUUUUUCAUUUGAGGAAUAUGCCUUCAAAUUUUUUUACAUUUUAUUUUUGAACACUAACAAACAUGCAUCAACUUUUGACUUCCAUAAUCCCAAAUAUUUUUUAUGUAUAUUUUGAGAUCAUAUUUGAAAUUCUCCUACUAGAGAGCUGAAAUUGUUGAAUGAUAAAUCAAGGGGGAGGCGAGGUUGUUGAAGAUCACAUGAAGCAGAAAGUGCACUUCACUGUUGAAUGUCAUGGUGGGAUACCAAGGAGUACAGACGUUCAUAGUACUUAUGUGUCAAGUCAUCGGGUUCGAUCAUGUUUAGAGGUAAGCGAUAAUUAAUUGUCUUAUUUGUGAUUUCCGUUUUAGAGCUCUACUAUUGGGUUUUGUUUGUGUUUCCCUUUUUGGACAUAAAAGUCCACACAAGGUUGAAUAGCAUAUUUUGUUUCAUUUAGCCACUGCAAGUUUGGAUUGUGUUUGGGUUGGAUCUUUGAAUUUUGAGGGACUUUAGUUUUGUGUUGAGCCACGCUCUUAUAAUAUGAAGGAUGGAUACUGUUUUUUCCAAAACCAAACGCACAUCAGUUUUCUAAGAUUACAACAACUGUCCUCCCAGUGUAAAAAAAGGUAUCCUCAAACCAACCAAAAGAAGGGGAAUAUGUGAGCAAGAUUUAUAGUUAAUAAAUCAUCAAAAGUAAAUUAGAGUUGGACUCGAGAACUCUUGCUGAUGUAUAGGAAAAGCAGACAAGGUAUGGGAAUAUAAAUUAAAACAGCCUUUAGAUGAAAAGGGCUGCUACAACUGAUCCUACCUCAAAUGGCGGUACCAAAAUAUAGGACUUGAACCUCAGUCUUCUCCCUCGCCCGUUGUUCUUGGCAAUGUUAAAGUAUCUCAAUUCGUACACAUUCAUCUCCUUGUUUGAAGCAAUAACUCAAAGCCAAUCUCUAAUGUUGUGUUUCUUGAAAUUCUUCUUAGCCAAGUAUUUAAGAUUCCUCUUGGAGAAGUAGCUAUUGGAGUUGAUGUUGAUCUUGUUCUUGUCCUGAGUGAUAGUGACUGAGUCAUCAAGUGUCUCUGCCACCCCAGCUUUGUUGGUCUGAUGAGGUGAUGGCCGUGAUCUUGUCCUCAACUGGCAUCACACAAUCAAAUGGUCACAUCCUUAUUUUUUCCCUUUGGGCCACCAGGUCGAUGACUCAUUCUGCUUCUGCUCUGCUACUUGUUUCCCUAACUCUGCAUCUGUAUAGAACAAUUGGCAUAAAUGGUGGAUACUAUUAAAUUGGAAAAUGGAGAUUCAAUCAGUUCUAUCAUUUUGACCUUUUGAUGUUUAGGGGAAGGUGGUAACAUAAAUUUACCUUCUCAGACUAUCCAUUAAGGUUGGUCUGAAAAGAAAAGGGUGGUCUAUCUUGGAAAACAUAUUUGGUUGUUCUCUUUUUCUUCACUCUGUCUACAUUUUGGAAAUAUGAGUGCUAUCAUUGUGUGAGAGGUUUCUUUAUUGACAAAAUUAAUUGGAGUUCAACAUUUGAAGAAGUCUUUCUAUGACUGUCCCUUGAACUCCAAAGGUUUGCACUCCAUCCCUGUGCCAAACAAAUAGAUGCUUCUUAUAUAUUUUUCUCUGGAAUUGAGAAAGUAUUGAUGCACACUUCUGUUAAAUGCGUUAAAUUACGGCUUUGAAGCCAAUUUUGAAUGGAUAGCUGGCGUAGAAACUGCCAUUAUUGAUGAAAUUUGAUACUACUGAUGAUUUUUAAUUUUAAUUUUAUAUUAUUAUUAAUUUCGUAGCCUAAUUAUGUUCAAUAUCUUAAACUGAUAUUUGAAAUGAGAAUUGAAUAUUUAUCUUUUUUUAUUUGUUUACUGACUAUUUCAAAUAAACUCGUUAUGAAGGAUGGAUGUUUGUGGGAUACCAAUGGGCACAUUUUCUAUUCUCCUCUUCCUUGCUGUGUCCCUUUGCCUGGAUUUGAAAACAUACGGUUUUGUGUUUCACAAUAUGAUGACAAAGACAGAGUAUUGUUAAGAAAUCUGUGUUUUGUACUUGGGGCCAAGUUUGUGGAGAAGCUGACAAAGAAGGUAACCCAUCUAAUAUGCAAGUUCACCGAUGGACAAAGUAUGAGGCUGCUUGUAAAUGGGGGAAACAAUGCAUUACAGCUGAAUGGAUAUAUGAGUGUGUCAGCCAGGUACCUUUGCGAUUUUGUUGCUUUUCAAUUAAAUAUGUUCACGUACAUGCAUAUCCUGAUAGAAUUCUAGACCCAUUGGUGUAUCCUUCUAUUAGGAUUGAUGUUUUUUAUGUUUAAACUUUUGGUUUCCUUUGCAUUUGGUUUAAUCCUUAAUGGUACCAGAUUUUCCCGCCAGACUGUUCGCUUGUUGGUCAAGACCAUUCAGAAACUUCUCCAAUUGGUGCUUUAUCUAACCAGUGGUCAAAAAGGUAAUUUUUGCCAUUGUCUCCUUGAUCUUCUUAUGGAAAGACCAUGCUGAAUUGAAGUGUUUAACAAGAACGGUCGCUGCCUGGAAAUAUAGUGAGACCAUUCAACGAAGUCGUUAUGAAAGAGUUUAUUUUCACUAUAAGAGAAAUAUUUUUUUUAUAUUCUUUUAGUCUCUACUGAUGAAUUGCUUCCUAGAACAAUAUAAUUUAUAAUUUCUUUCAAAAUAGGUUCGUUUGAGUAAUAGUGUUAAUUAUAAAACUCAAAUCACACCGUUUGCAAUGCUUGAAAACCAGUAUUCACAAAUAAAUGCUAUCCUUGAGCAUUAACUUUUUUCAUGGGACAUUUGCAAAAAUGGUAAAACAAGUUAUAACUUUAUUAUUUGUGAAAAUGAUCAAAUAAAGUCCAGCCCACCCAUAUAAAAGCCUGGAUUUGAUUAUUUUUGCUAUAUUUUCAAAAUCACAAACCUUAAAGACAUUUUUGCAAAACACCUAAACUAAUUUGCCACCCAAUAUAGUUUUCCUUUUUCAUUUUAGAAAAACCAGGUUUGGAAAUAAAGGCAGUAGGUUAUUUCUUUAAAAACUAGCCAUUAAAUAUCCCUGUAUUCUAAGUGGAUCUUAGCAUAAUGCAAGCUUUAGUGUUUUUUCGAGAAAGACUAUUAUGUUCGAACACAAUUCAAUUUUGCCUUUGUAACUUGGUUUUUGAGACCUUUGUGUCUUGUAUUUUCUCAAAGCUGAAAGAAAAGAAGAUGUCAGCAAUUCUACUACUGAAGAUGGGACUGUGGGCAUAUGUGAUGGCUUUAGUGAAACACAAACAGAGUCUCAGGUGUGUGGCCAUUUUUCUUUUUGUGAACUAUAACUCUAUCAAUUAUAGUAAUUUUUUUUAAAAAAUUGCCACCAUUUUCGUCAACUUGAUUACAAGAGGACUAAAGAACGAACUAUAACUCAUAAGAUUUUUUAUGGAGUAGGAAUUAGGGUAUUAUGGUCAAAUUCUUAAUAUAUUAGGAUUAGGAUUAGUUUCUUUUAUUAAUUAGGAUUAGUUUGAUUUUAAUAGAGUACUUGUCUUCUUGUAUUCACAAAUUUAAAUAUUAAUAAAAUUCUCUCAUUUGGUCUACAACAAAUUGUUAUCGGUAUUAGAGCAAACGUUUGGACCAACUUUGAUUGCCAUCGGUGGAAAAUUGGAAAUUUUUUCGUGAUGCUGAUCAGAAGAGGAGCCUUGUGAGUUGUUCGCAUUGCUAAACAACACACAUCUAACUGGGGGAACCCUUAAAAUUAAAAAAGAAAGAAGAAGAAAGAAAUUCAUCCUAAUUUUGCAUGGAUGCAUUUGUACACAUCAAGGAAGACAGUGUGAAGAAAAAAUAUACUAGUUGGCUAGUUGGUAUAGGCAAGAAACUCAAAUUUCCUCCCAAAUGAAGAAUUGGAGUUCUGAUUCAAGUGAUUCAAAAGAAGAAUUCUAACACAAUAAUUUUGCUCGUGCUUGAUUUUCUCAAAGAACCUAUCAUUAUCCACAUUUGAAAUUUGGUUACAGUGAUUCUAGCGAUUUCAACAAAGAUUCUAAUGCAGUUCGGAACAAAAUAACAAGGAUGGACGGUGGUAAAAAUAUCAAGACAGAUGGAACUUGUCUUGAUGAACCUUUCUUAAUGAGAAGAGGAAAAGUGAGAACAUUUUUUAUGAAAUUUGAUACUACUGAUGAUUUUUAAUUUUAAUUUUAUAUUUAUUAUUUAUUUCGUAACCUAAUUAUGUUCAAUAUCUUAAACUGAUAUUUGAAAUGAGAAUUGAAUAUUUAUCUUGUUUUUAUUUGUUUACUGACUAUUUCAAAUAAACUCGUUAUGAAGGAUGGAUGUUUUGUGGGAUACCAAUGGGCACAUUCUCUAUUCUCCUCUUCCUUGCUGUGUCCCUUUGCCUGGAUUUGAAAACAUACGAUUUUGUGUUUCACAAUAUGAUGAUAAACACAGAGUAUUGUUAAGAAAUCUGUGUUUUGUACUUGGGACCAAGUUUGUGGAGAAGCUGACAAAGAAGGUAACCCAUCUAAUAUGCAAGUUCACCGAUGGGACAAAGUUUGAGGCUGCUUGUAAAUGGGGCAAACAAUGCAUUACAGCUGAAUGGAUAUAUGAGUGUGUCAGAUAGGUACCUUCACGAUUUUGUUGCUUUUCAAUUAUAUAUGUUCACGUACAUGCAUAUCCUGAUAGAAUUCUAGACCCAUUGUGUUGAUAUUUCUUCUCUUAGAUAUGGAAUGAUUUUGUUUGAAUACAAAACUUUCAGAGAAAGAUUGUCUCUCUUGAUUUGUAUCGCCCAAAAGAAGUUAAAGCUCAAGACAGAGCGACAGGCUUAUGCACUGUCAGCCAAUUUCCUACUCAAGCUGCCCCAAUGAUAGCCAAUGAAAGCAUAUCCCAGUUCCUAUCCAUUCUGCCAUUCCGAGAGACCAAUCAGCUGGAACUAACAGUAGCUUUAUAGGAGCAGCUGAACGAAUAAGUUCUAUGAAGAAAAGCGCAAGUUCUUUGACGAAGCCAUAGAAAAGCAUUCACUUUUGUUGGAAACAGAUCCACUCAAUCUGACUGCAUUUUGAAUUCCACAAAACAAACUACAUCAAAUUCUUCUGUAGUAACUUCACACGUUCCUGAUGUCGCUUCCGCAAUUGAGGACUUGUUGGAGCAGACAACUAAGGUAAAAUCUGGUUUGAGCUACAAUUCCAUUUUUAUUUUAUUUUUUCCUUCAAAUCCUUUUGUUUUCCUUUCUUUUUAAGAUUCAAGAUCAGAAGUCACCUGGAAAGACUGGCUGCGAUAAAAGUAUUAUCCUUCUAUUAGGAUUGAUGUUUUUUAUGUUUAAACUUUUGGUUUCGUUUGCAUUUGGUUUAAUCCUUAAUGGUACCAGAUUUUCCUACCAGACUGUUCGCUUGUUGGUCAAGACCAUUCAGAAACUUCUCCAAUUAGUGCUUUAUCUAACCAGUGGUCAAAAAGGUAAUUUUUGCCGUUGUCUCCUUGAUCUUCUUAUGGAAAGACCAUGCUGAAUUGAAGUGUUUAACAAGAAUGGUCGCUGCCAGAAAUAUAGUGAGACCAUUCAACGAAGUCGUUAUGAAAGAGUUUAUUUUCACUAUAAGAGAAAUAUUUUUUUUUAUAUUUUUUAGUCUCUACUGAUGAAUUGCUUCCUAGAACAAUAUAAUUUAUAAUUUCUUUCAAAAUAGGUUCGUUUGAGUAAUAGUGUUAAUUAUAAAACUCAAAUCACACCGUUUGCAAUGCUUGAAAACCAGUAUUCACAAAUAAAUGCUAUCCUUGAGCAUUAACUUUUUUCAUGGGACAUUUGCAAAAAUGGUAAAACAAGUUAUAACUUUAUUAUUUGUGAAAAUGAUCAAAUAAAGUCCAGCCCACCCAUAUAAAAGCCUGGAUUUGAUUAUUUUUGCUAUAUUUUCAAAAUCACAAACCUUAAAGACAUUUUUGCAAAAUACCUAAACUAAUUUGCCACCCAAUAUAGUUUUCCUUUUUCAUUUUAGAAAAACCAGGUUUGGAAAUAAAGGCAGUAGGUUAUUUCUUUAAAAACUAGCCAUUAAAUAUCCCUGUAUUCUAAGUGGAUCUUAGCAUAAUGCAAGCUUUAGUGUUUUUUCGAGAAAGACUAUUAUGUUCGAACACAAUUCAAUUUUGCCUUUGUAACUUGGUUUUUGACCUUUGUGUCUUGUAUUUUCUCAGAGCUGAAAGAAAAGAAGAUGUGGGCAAUUCUACUACUGAAGAUGGGACUGUGGGCAUAUGUGAUGGCUUUAGUGAAACACAAACAGAGUCUCAGGUGUGUGCUAUGCAAUCCAGAAGGGGGAAUGCAACUAUACCCAAUUCAUAAUUGUAUUUGGAACACUAAUAAUUUUAGCACAAAUUCCAUCUUUCCAUUCUCUAAGACAUAUAAACCUUAUCCCUCUCACUCUAUACCUUGGCUAUAGUGCUCUUGCAACAUAUUAAAAUUCUCGUAAUUAAAAAUUCAUACACAAUUUAAAUUAAAUUAAACAUCAAGACCCCUGUUGAAGAUGAAUCUCUGUUCAUUUUUCUUUUUAUUAAUAAACAAAAGUUUUUAGGUCCACUUCUUUCAACAACCUCCUCAGGGAUCCUUAAUUAUCUCUUUCCAUGUUCAUAACUACUCUAGUCAUGCAAAGAUUAGGGUUCAUGGCCAAUCAACAAUUAAUCUGUGAUCAAGAUAUUAUAAACGUUAUUCACAUAAAAACAUGAAAAGAUUAAGAGCAAAUAAUCAGAUGCAUUACAAAGAGUAAUUCAUAAACUUUGUCUUCAUCUAUCCCUAGGAUUAAGAGUUUAGCUACCCCAUACUUCACAAUCUAAAACACAAAACUCAAUACAAAACCCAUAACAAAAAUUAAAGGAGAAGAAAAAGAAAAAGAAGAAGAAAAGCUAGUGAUUCGUAUUAUUAUCAGACUGUGUAUAACAGUAUGUGUUUUUAAUAUUCUUUUUUCCAGCUCCAGUGUACCAAAAUAUUAUCACAAACUCCACAAUCCUUCUCUUUCCAAUCCCUAAACUAAAAGAUAAUAGAUUUAAACAAUAAAUCAAGUUAUUCGAGGUACUUGGAUCCUCCCUUCUUGAGAUCACAAUCUCAAGCCCUAAAACCCAAAUAUUGCUUCUCUUCUCCAUUCCCCUAUCCCUCUAUUUAUAACCAAAUGUAACCCACUCCCUAACUAUUUAUGCCCUCAAUACCCAAAUAACCCCUAAUACCGAUCCUAUUCGUCUCAAGGUGGUUUCAAAAUGUAGACCAUUUUGGAGGGGGCAGUGACUGCAUUUUUACCAUCUUUAUUUAAUUUCAUCUAUGUAGAAUGCCAUAACUCACAGGUUGAUGACGGUGAAUGGGAGCUGUAUCCACAAGUAACUGCUCUAUGCAUUGGAAAUGCUAAAUACUUUGGCGGUGGUAUGAAAAUUGUGCCAAAUGCCGAUCCUUCCAACAGGAGUCUAGAGGUAUAAUUCGUUUCUGUGGGAUUUUAUUUGAUCACUUUUUCCUUCCUUGUCUUCUUAACUAUGUGAUGCUUUUCUUUGCAGGUAGUAAUUCUUCAGGAUUUCAAGUGGUAUGACUUUAUUCUGAAUUUACACAAAAUAUACAAUGGGACAUAUUUGACGGUGAAAAACGUAACAUCAAGAAGGUUAGUCAUCUCUUUAAAAAUUAUAAUGUGCCUAGAUUUUCCAUUUUGUAUUUCAAUUUUCUCUCUCCAACGGUCUGUUUUAUGUUGGAGACUUGUGGAAGCAGAGGUGAAGAAACUAUAAUUGAACUGGAUUUGCAUGCAUUUGGUUUUAAAUGGGCUUUAUGACAAAAUAAUUCAAAUGUUUCUUAAAUGGGCCUUUUCUUCUCUAACUCCUUUCUACUUUUUCCCUCCUCCCCCCUUCUCUCUCUCUCAUUUUAAAAUUUCUUCCCCCACUUUCUCUCUAACGGCUGCCUCUCUCUCUUAUUUUCUCUCUCUUCUUCCCUUCUCUCUCUCUCAUUUCAAAUUUCUUCCCCCAACUUAUUCUCUAACUACUGCUCUCUCUCUCUAUUUUCUCCCUCCUUCCCCUUCUCUCACACUUUUCUGCCGUGUUUAGGAUAUCUUCUUGUCAAAUCGAACAUUCAACGUAUUUGUAAUUGUGAUUUUGGAAUUAAUGUUUGGUCAAUUUCUUUUCAUAUCCACAGAAUCAAUGAUUUUGAAGUGUUGAAACUUUCUUAUUUAAAUAUUUUAAAGAGCUAUGAGUUUUGAGGUGGAAAAGUUGUUCUCUCUGUGUUGUUUUUUCUCCCUGUUUUGUGGGGCUGUUUUGGAUAUGUUGUUUUUGGUUUUGGUUCUUUGGUGCUUUUGUUUUCUUCAUCUGUUUGUGUUGGAACUCCAGUAUGUAGUAUUUCAAUAGUAAACUUUAUUGAUGAAUAACGAUGUAAAUCCUUAGUACAAUAUAAGAAUGCAAAGACUCUCCAACUGUUUUAAUUUUAUUAAAGUACAUUAUAUUCAAUCUUCAUUUUUUUGGUUCUUCUGUAAAUGAUGUUUCUUCUAUUAUGGAUUUGCAUUAUACAGCACUGCCAUAUUAAGGCAUAAAGUUACGAAAAUUAGAAACAUACCCUUUGUAGGUGAGAAUGUUGUAUGUAUAUAUAUAUAUAUAUAUAAAUUAGUUAUCUUUUUUAGUCCUAUAUUGUAAAAAAAUAUGAUUGUUUGUUGAAAAAAAAAGGACAAAACAAUGGACCAAUGGAUCGCUAAUAUGAGUCGGUGAACGAGAUAAUUAAUUCUCUAAAUCCAUUUAAGCAAAAUUAAAAAAAAAAUCUAAUAAAAACCCUACAUGUACAGUCUCUCUCAUUUCAAAUUUCUUUCUCCUCUUCUCUAACGGCCAAGUCUCCCUCUCCUCCCCCCUUCUCUCUUGCUCUCUUGUCUUCUUUGGCCUAUCUCUCAACAGAAACCCUAUCAUACCCAUUUUGCGGAUCCAUCUCCAUCUUCUUCUCUUAGUCGCGGAUCCAAUCUCCAUCUUCUUCUCUUAGUCGCGCAUCCAAUCUCCAUCUUCUUCUCUUAGUCGCAGAUCCAAUCUCCAUCUUCUUCUCUCAGUCGCGGAUCCAAUCUCCAUCUUCUUCUCUCAGUGCGUCCUUUCCAUUUCUUCGUACACUCCAUUUUCGAAACCCUAUCAUACCCAUUUCACCCAUCCAUCUCCAUCUUCUUCUCUUAGCGCGUCCUUUCCAUUUCUUCUUCUUCUUCUUUGUUCGUACACUCCAUUUUCCCUUUCUCUUCUCAAACCCUAAUUCUUCUUUGUUCGUACAACCAAAACCAGUUUAACCAGUGUUGAUUCCUCCUCUACUUCGACCUGUGUGCUCUUUUCUUCUUCCCUCGCAAUUUCGAUUCCACCAUCCUCACCGAUUUUGGUUGCAAUUUCUACUCUCUUCAACCUCAACCUUCUGGAUUCCCUCACUCUCACCGGAUUGACUUCAAUGUCCUUGGAACCUCCACUACUACUACUACUACUCCACUCAUCAAAGAAUCCGCUGGAUUAUCAGACGCUCCUCUUCCUUUCCUUUCUAAUCCUUGUCUCUCUUUCAACUCUAGCGGUGAGCCCCGAACGAAUCGCAUUACUCCGUGAGUUCCCAAUUAAUUCCAUCUUUAUUUAAUAUUCAAUUGUCCUCUUUCCAUUUGUUUCAAUUAUUGAAUAGAAAGUUACUUGAAUGAACUAUGUUCUAAUAAUUUCAUGUGGUUCUGGUAAAGCACAGUGCAUCCGGUCGAACUUCCCCAUUAUGUAAUUUUAUGGAGGUAGUUUUGUAAAUUGGAUUGAAACAGGGGCUAUUCAAUGUGUAUGCAUUAAAUAUAGGUAUUGUUUUUCAAUUAAAUAUAAAUCGAUUGAGCCUCCGAUGUGCUAGUAAGCGUCAGAUCUCCUCUGUGUAUAUAUAGUUAGGUACUCUUCUUUUUUUUAUAGGUUCUGUCAUAUAUAUCACGGUCUGAAGUUGUAGCUGAACUUGCUUUCAUCUUUAGUUUUAUCACUAUUUAAAGGUCAGAUUUUGUUCGAUUAGAAGAAUGUAAAUUUGUCAAGGACAAUAGCAUGCUUAGUUUAAUUGUACUCAAAUAUUGUUAAUAAAACAAUUGCUUUAUUUGUGUUGAUACCAUUAUUUGUGUGGUAGAUCUCUUGAUUCAUUUUGAUGUUUGUAUUUGAAGACAUACAAAGGUCAUAAUACUAGUUGCUAUUCUUUUUAUCUUGGUACGUUUCAUUUUUUUUUAAUAUUUCAACUGUCUCUAUAAAUUGAUUGUACAAACAUAUCUCAUCAUUCAAUCACUUUUCAAGUUUUAGAUUCUGAAAUUUUACAUAUUGGGGUUUUCCUUUUUCUUUAUUUUGGAUUAUUUCAAAUCUCCAAAGAUCUUUCUUGUAACAUUUGCAUAUUUUAGUUUAUUAAAAUCUUCGAAAGUAGAGGAGAAGGCUCCAAAAGCAUUAUGUCUCUCAUUGCCUUGCCCUAACAUUAUCAUCUGUGUAAGAUGUGUAAGAUGUGCCAAUGAGUAGACCAUGUUCUUUUACUUUUUUUUCCAUAGCUUUUGAACCACUUUCCCUUUCUCUCCUUCUCUUUCAUUCUUCUUUUAUGUUAAUUGGAAGAAGCUUUGAGGCCUCUCUUGAAAAUAAUGAGGUUUUGAAGGGAUAGAAAGAGAGUGAUGGUGGGAUCCAUCAAAGGUUUGGGAUUUCACACAAUGUUCGCAUCACUCUUUUAAAUGUAAUUAGAGGUUGAGGAGUUGAUCGCCGAUCAUAGAUAAGGAGGGGCUGGUUAGUGGCUUGAAAAAGAAUUCAGAUAACAUUAAUUUUUUCUAAAAAUAAAACCAACCUUCCGACGGUUGGUUAACACUCCUCGACAGUCGAGAUAGGGUAAGACUUGUAUUCUAGUUCUGUUGGUACCUGUAUUUGUGCUUCAUCACUUCAUAAUUGUACUUUUAUUUAUCCCCUUUGUAUGUUUCCAUGUGUUUCAUGUUUGUCUUUUAUGUUUCUUCUAUUUAUAUAUUUCUUCAUGUUCUUCUCCAUUCGGGUUUGCUCUUGCGGAGGUUACACAUUCAUUGUUGUGCUGGUACUUUAGUUAAUGAUGUCUAGUAUUUUUGUUUUGCAAAUUUUCUUGUUAGUGCUCAAGUUUGAUUCAUACUGCCUUUAGCAUAGCUUUACGAUUGCAGAAUUCUUGCACAUUGCCCUUUUUUAUUUUGUUAUUACUGAUGGACUUAUUUGUGAUACUUUAAAGAAGAAAAUUUAUGGCUAUUUGUGUUGAAGUUUAUUUUUUGAUUAUUGGUUGGUUUUUUCCCUCCACUUUUCUUAAUAUUUUGAAGUGUGUAAUAAGGUAAGCAAUUUUUUAGUCCCCUAAAUUUGUUUUGUUGAUGAAUUGUUUCCUUUUUUUUUCUCGGUUUUGUUUUCAGGUUUUCAUCAUUAUUCAUUUGGUGGCUAAAUAUUACUCAUCUGGUAUUUGUUCGAUCUUAUUUUGUUGUGAUCAAUUGAUAUACAUAAUAUGCACUAUAAAUUUGUUAAAUUUUUGGAUUAUUUGCUUUUUUAAUAAGGUUGGAGGAACCUCAAGCGUACGUUUUGUUAAAGCAUAUUUUAUAUUGAUAAAUUUGAAGUUGUCAAGUCUAUACAAUGAUAAUGUUAAUACGAGUAAAUUUAUAGCAAAUUUAGUUGACUUAACUUAUUUACAUGCUGGUUGCUCGGACUCUUGGAAAAACGUUACGUGCAUUUUAACCCAGCGAUAAGAGAACUUAAGGUUGUUAUGACUUACAUAUCAGUUUUUGAGAUUUUCUUAUAACUUUUUCAUAGACCUUAUUGUAGUUUUUUGUUCUUUAUUUUUGUUUGUAGGACGUUUCUAGAGAAUGCAAGACCAUGUUUGAGUGAGAAAUUGGUCUCGAUGAAAUUGAGAGUUCAAAUGAACAGCACAUACAAUGCAAGUAAAUCUACCUACUCAAACCCAUCUUCUAUUUCUAAAGCAGAAGGGCUUUCGGUGGCUGAACCAAGUGAGUGAUUAAGUUUUUUAUCACCCGUAUUAUUUGUUAUCACUAGGGAAAGAAAGCUGAGAGAAAAAGUAGAAUGCCAAUGGAAAAAAAGAAUGUAGUAAGCAGCGUUAUUAUUUUAAAAAAUAGAAAACAAAAAUUAACAUUAUUGUUAAACCGAGCCAUUCUCGAGAACAUGAAAUAGAAUUGGAUAGCUGCCAUGCAUCGUGUCUAUGAAUGUUAAGAAUGAAACUAUCCGGUAAGGUUAUAGAAUAAUCAUUCUACCAGCCUCAAUUAUGAUACAGGGUUUAUGAAAUAGAAUUUUCUUAUGUAUUGUAAUAGUAGAAGAUUCUUCGUUGGGAAGCAAAGCUUAUAGCUUUGAUGAGUAUCUAAAGGUUAUAGAAGAGCAACUGAAAGCUUACGAUCAGCUCCAAACCAAUUUUCCAGCACAAAGCCAGAGUGGAUCCCAAGUACAACGGGAAGGUUGUUAAAAUCAAAUCUCUUAUGUCUUAUUUCAUAACUAUUUAGUUUUGAUCUUAACUACAACAAUUUUCAUUUUUUUCUAGGUGAACAUUGUAUGUGCUUAGAAAUUAAGUGUUUUGAAAAUUAGAGGUGAGCAAUCACACUUAGAAACUAAGUGUAGAACCAUAGAAAUGUUACCCCAUCGGUUCUAGCAACGCCUAGUUACCGCAGUUCAUAACAAAGAAAGAAAAGAGGCUCGUAAAUGCAGACCAUAAAAAAGUGAGAUAAUCAACAAUUAUAAAAAAAACAUAUGCAAUAUGCAUUAAAAAAAGCUCAUAAAAAAUAUAGAGUCAAGUUAGUUAGGUCAAGUAGAACUUGUUGAGUUCCUCAACUUAAAUUUACUCUCUUAUCCAUUAGCUUAAGCUUCUAUAUGUAUUAGUGCUUUCUUGAUACACUCAAAUAUUUCUCUUUUAUUACUUGUUUUCUCAACUGAUAUGUAUCAUAAGACCUUUUACAUGUCUUCAUCAACAUGAUACUUAAAAUACAAAGCUCAACCUCUUUUUUGCCACUCCAUGGCAUGAGUAUCCUGGCCCAUUAGUCAUUUUUCUUGAAAACCUAAACCAGGUUAUGGAAGGCAUAUUUGAGAGUGUUUUUAGAAACUAGUUAACAAAAUUGAUUUUUACUAAUAAAUGUUUUGUUAAAAGUGAUUUUUAUGGCAUAUUAACGUUCGUUUGUGUCUAUACUUUUUAAAAGUGAUUUUUGUAACAUAAAAAGUAAUUUCCAAUGACUCGAAACAUGUUUGAACUUAACAGGUAGGAAAAAUUCAAAUGCAAAAAUAGACAUGGUAUGUUGGCUUGUCUGAUUCUUACUUGUUUUCUUUUAUUUAUUUUUUUGAAAAAUUUGAUGAGAUAUGACAUUAGUUUGUUGUUGAUUGUUCUAUCAUUAUGGUUUUGAUCUUAACCAUCUUUUUCUCUCUCUCUUUGGUCUUUUGUGUUGCUUUUGAUUCUAUAUGUUCUUAAUUUUAAUGUCUUGGGUCUUUGUCGGUGGUGGAGAUUAGAGAUGCUUGUGUUCUGAAGAAGAUAAUGGAAGAAUUUUUAUUUGUAUUAUGUGAGAUUGUUUUGAGUUUCAUUUUGCAUUUGUUGGAAUGGAAAGAAAAAUUACUCUGUUAUCCAUGCAUAGUUAAGUUUUAGUUAAGUCUACCUUGACAUUUCUCAUAACACGACCCGUCCUUGUCUUCUGAGCUAAGAGGAUCAGGCUUAGUCAAGUCUACCGUCACAUUUCAAUUUAAUGAUCUAUUAUGUUUGAUUUUUCGUGAAUUUGUGUUACUUAAUGAUCUAUUUUGUUUCUCGCUUAUCAAAUAAUUGGAAUUAAGAGGAGAUUUGUUUAACAUUUGUUGAGAAUGGUGAUGCGUUAAAGAUUCGAUUUUAUUGCCAAGUGUCUUCGUGAGAUUAUGUCUUUCGGUAGUGUUGAAAGAGCUGCUGUUUCUAAUUUUGGUUCAUUUCUUGUUAUGGGAGAUUGGUUUAAGAUAUGGAAUAAAUGUAGUUCAUUUCAGGGUAAUAAUGUUGCAAAGCUUUUUAAUAUUCCUUCACACAACCAUGGUUCCUUGUAUUCAGUCACCUUAUUUUCUUGUGGCAGGCUACAUUAAGAUAUAUCAAGGUUGGAGACCAAAGUUGAGAGGCUAAAGUCGGUAGUACAAGUUAAAGAUAUGGAGAUUGCAACAGUUACACGAAUAGUACAAUCUCGAGACUUGCCUAAAUUCUAUGAUUUCUCUCUAUUUAACAUUGAACAAGGAAGUUAUUUUCCACCGAAGCCAAAGGUAAGGCUGCUUUUAAGCUCAAAUUGACAAGCUACAGUAGGAAAAUGUUGAACUCCAGAGAAGGGUUAUUGGCAAUUAGGUUAUGGUAGUUGGAUGGUGUGAGAUAGAUACUAGUUUCUAUGUAAUAAUUUUAACUUAGUUGUUUCUGUUUGUGUGCAAAGCAAGUAAGAACUCAACAAUACAUGAGAUGAAUAAGAAAAAAAGGAGUACAUCAAAUUGCAGGUGAGAACCUUUUAGUUAUUUUUCGGUUCUAGGCUCAAGUUGGACUCUGUUAGAGGUGUUUAUUAUUUACAGCUGAGAUAGGAGCUUUUGUAUGUCUAAACAAGUCUUAAGGGAGAAAAAAAGAAUUCCUACCAAACCCUUCCACCAAGACCAUAGAAUUCCCUUGAAGAGCAGAAUACAUAAUCAUCAGUCUAAAGCUUACAGUACUUAAGAGACAAAAGAGUUGAAUUGAAAUGUUCAUCAUGUUUGAAAUGCCAACAAAGUUAAAUGGUAGAUGAGAUGUGUUGAAUUCGUGAUUGACUCAAAGUAAGUUCAUCAACAAUACGUAAUAUUUUCUUCUUCUCGUGUUCUUAUUACAGUUUCUUUUUAAUUUCUCAGUAUUUCUGUGCUUACUAGGGGUGAGUAGAGAUCUUAUACAUCUUAGAUUGGUAUUUCCAAGUGCUGUACUUUCGUACUUUUAAAGUAUUUCAUUUGGAUGUCAUCUACCUCUAAGCCUAAACGCUAAAUGACAAUGGAAGAUAUUAGGCUGUGCAGUAGGUGAUAAAUUUCAGGUUUCUCUUAGGGUGGAAUUAGAAGAGAAUCUAGGUUUUGUACACCGAAAAAGAGAGAAUAUAAAUGAUGAUUGAUCCUGUAAGCAAAUAAUGUGUUUUUGUUAAGGAGUCAAAGGGAAUUUAGAUGAAUGGAAGGACAGGUGGAAGGAGUGAUUAGAUUUAUGAAAUUUAUGGACCAAGUUACCGUGGGGGGGAAUUACGUUGAAUGGUUUGUCCAAUUAAAAAUUUCCAUUACUUUUAUGGUACCCUUAUUGUCACCAUUCGUCUCUUUUUCUAUCACUCGAGAUCCCUUCCUUGCCUUGCCUUUAUCCAAAUUAUUGUCUAUUUCUUGUAGCCAGUGAGUCCAUCUAGCUUUGCUUAAAAAUGUUAAUUACCAAAACUUUAACUACGCCCUAAUAAUGCCUUUAUUGUUUGUUUUUGUUUUUGUUUUUUUUCUCUUUUUUGAUUUAACAGUUAAAAUCGUGUUGGUAUAACGUACCACAACGUAUCUAUUCUUAUAUUGCUAUAUCUUAUUUACUUCAAAUCAAUGUCUUACCGAGCUAACAUCUUAUUUCAUGAAUAUACGCACUUACAUUCUCACUUAGCGUGGCUCUUUUUUUCAUAUUUCAAACUCACAAGUGAGAAAGAGUGUUGGAUGUUAUGUUAAAUUUACUCUCUUAUCCAUUAGCUUAAGCUUCUAUAUGUAUUGGUGCUUUCUUGAUACACUCAAAUAUUUCUCUAUUAUUACUUGUUUUCUCCACUAAUAUGUAUCAUAAGACCUUUACAUGUCUUCAUCAACAUGAUACUUAAAAUACAAAGCUCAACCUCUUUUUGCCACUCCAUGGCAUGAGUAUCCUGGCCCAUUAGUCAUUUUUCUUGAAAACUUAAACCAGGUUAUGGAAGGCAUAUUUGAGAGUGUUUUAGAAACUAGUUAACAAAAUUGAUUUUACUAAUAAAUGUUUUGUUAAAAGUGAUUUUCAUGGCAUAUUAACAUUUGUUUGUGUGUAUACUUUUAAAAGUGAUUUUGUAACAUAAAAAGUAAUUUCCAAUGACUCGAAAACAUGUUUGGAACUUAACAGAGGUAGGAAAAAUUCAAAUGGAAAAAUAGACAUGGUAUGUUGGCUUGUCUGAUUUCUUGUUUUCUUUUAUUUAUUUUUGAAAAAUUUGAUGAGAUAUGAGAUUAGUUUGUUGUUGAUUGUUCUAUCAUUAUGGUUUUGAUCUUAACUAUCUUUUUCUCUCUCUUUGGUCUUUUGUGUUGCUUUUGAUUCUAUAUGUUCUUAAUUUUAAUGUCUUGGGUCUUUGUCGAUGGUGGAGAUUAGAGAUGCUUGUGUUCUAAGAAGAUAAUGGAAGAAUUUUUUAUUUGUAUUAUGUGAGAUUGUUUUGAGUUUCAUUUUGCAUUUGUUGGAAUGGAAAGAAAAUUACUCUGUUAUCCAUGCAUAGUUAAGUUUUAGUUAAGUCUACCUUGACAUUUCUCAUAACACGACCCGUCCUUGUCUUCUGAGCUAAGAGGAUCAGGCUUAGUCAAGUCUACCGUCACAUUUCAAUUUAAUGAUCUAUUAUGUUUGAUUUUUCGUGAAUUUGUGUUACUUAAUGAUCUAUUUUUGUUUCUCGCUUAUCAAAUAAUUGGAAUUAAGAGGAGAUUUGUUUAACAUUUGAUUUGAAUGGUGAUGCGUUAAAGAUUCGAUUUUAUUGCUAAGUGUCUUCGUGAGAUUAUGUCUUUCGGUAGUGUUGAAAGAGCUGCUGUUUCUAAUUUUGGUUCAUUUCUUGUUAUGGGAGAUUGGUUUAAGAUAUGGAAUAAUGUAGUCAUUUCAGGGUAAUAAUGUUGCAAAGCUUUUAUAUAUUCCUUCACACAACCAUGGUUCCUUGUAUUCAGUCACCUUAUUUUCUUGUGGCAGGCUACAUUAAGAUACAUCAAGGUUGGAGACCAAAGUGGAGGCUAAAGUCGGUAGUACAAGUUAAAGAUAUGGAGAUUGCAACAGUUACACGAAUAGUACAAUCUCGAGACUUGCCUAAAUUCUAUGAUUUCUCUCUAUUUAACAUUGAACAAGGAAGUUCUUUUCCACAGGAAGCCAAAGGUAAGGCUGUUUUAAGCUCAAAUUGACAAGCUACAGUAGGAAAAUGUUGAACUCCAGAGAAGGUUAUUGGCAAUCAAGUUAUGGUAGUUGGAUGCUGUGAGAUAGAUACUAGUUUCUAUGUAAUAAUUUUAGUACUAAUGUUGUUUCUUUUGUGUGCAAAGCAAGUAGGAACUCAACAAAUACCUGAGGUGAAGAAGAAAGAAAAGGAGUACAUCAAAUUGUGUGUGAGAUACCUUUUAGUUAUUUUUCGGUUCUAGGCUCAAGUUGGAUUCAGGUUAUAUAGGAGUUUUUGUAUGUCUAAACCAAGUGAAGUCUUAAUGGAGAAAAAGAAAGAAUCUAUAUCAGGAACGGAGAUAAUGAAUUUGCUACAAGUAUAUUUUAGUUAUUUAUCAAUAUUUUACCCAUAAUGGAUCAUUCCUUUCAUUUACUGGCUUUUGUAAUGUAUGAUAUGAACAGAAAGAGGGGUGACGAUGUGGAACUUGGAAUGGCAAGAAAACUGAUAACGAUUUCUAUAAAAGGAUAGUAUGUUAAAACCUCUAUUUUAAAUGUCUGUGCAUGAGCAUGAUUGUUAGUGGUUAAAUAAAAUAUUCUCAUAAUUGUCUCAUGGUUCGGCGGAUGCUUAUGAAGUUAAAAAUCAAGAAUUGACGUCAGAGAAUGCUUAUUUAAAGACAUUGACCAGUAAAUGCAGGUUUGCAACAAUUUUGUUAUUGUCUGUGUUUUAAGUUUACUAAAUUUUUAUCAAAUAAAUUUUGGAAGGGGUGGUGAGCAUGCAAUAAAACAAGUUUGUAGAAUGCAUCUAUUUCGUCUUAUUAAUUUUGUGAUAUUGAGGUUUUUUGCCAUUCUUUUAUUGAAUUAUUUUUGUGAAUUUUAAUUCUUGAAGUUCAUUGUUUUAUUGUUUAUUUGAUAGACAAAAAAACCCCCUAAAUUUGUAUCAGAUAUAGUUUUAGUAAUUUGUUUUCUUAAGAUUCAUCCCUUACAUUUUGUUUAGUUAAUUAUUCCUUGUUUGGUAUAAUUAAUUUUUUUGAAUUAUUUGUUUUUUUUAUUUUUAUUUUUUGUUUGAAAGAGCUUUUGUGAUCAAAUUUCUUUAACUUUGUUUGAUCGAUGAUGAAUGAAUGAGAAUAGAGGAAGGCCAUAGUAGUUCGCAAACUAAAUGAAAUGACAUGUUUAACACUACUCAUGCAUUGUUGAUACUACAAACUGAAGAACAUUAGGUUUUCGUAUAAUGGACUUGAGAUAUGCGGCAUCUUUUGGAAACAUUACAUUUUUUUCAGUCAGUUAUGCAAGCAUGACUGUAUUUUUGAAUCUCAUUAGUCUAUUCGUAGACAUUUGACCCUUCUGGAUGUUUAUAAUUGUAGUUUGUGUUUACUCCAUUUAUUCAUUUGAUUUUCAGAAUAUUUGUACAAGUUAUAUUUUAUUUCUUCCUUAUUAAACAUAAUUGAUUUUCUUUUUUGAACUUGGCCUACACAAGCCUGAGAUACUUAAGGGCAUACAUGAUAUGUCACGUUUCUACUUUUAAGGACAUCAAUGAUUAAUCAACCAUAAUUAGGAAGAGCUUUAGAACUUAAAAUCCAGAACUCAAAUAAACAUAUAUCCUUCUACGAAGUUGUUGAAAAACGUCUUGUUAUUCAUACCUAAAAUUUUCAACUUCAGAUUCCAACUGAUGUACUCUACAGCCCUCUGGAACCUCUUUAAUCCUUCUUUCUUGCCAACCUUAAACACUCAAAACCCUUUCUAACCUCUAAAACCAUUUUGCCAAGUCAACCCAAUACGCCUAAAAAGUACUAUUCUUUGAUAUUGAACCAAAAACUUUCCUUCUUUCAAACCUCUUAAACUCUUUGAAAAAGACUACACUACCCAAAGUUUGGGUCUUACAUAAAGAAAGAAGAAGAUAGACUCAAGAUAUAAAAAUAAGGAAGUUAAUCAUCUCGAAAGAAAAGAUAUAAGGAGAAUUUCAUUUUGAUGCCUCUUGAUCUUUAACUCAUCUUCGCUAUUCCUUUCUACCUCUUUCCCCUUUGUGGAAAGACCUGGUUGGAUAGCCAUAGGUCCAAGAUUUCUAGUCUUUUUACUAGUUUGGAAAAGCCAACUAAUUCAAUUUAGUAGAGGUGUAAAACGGAGAUUGCUUGAGUUCGACGAAUGAAAGAGAGCUCGUACCCGCAACUUUUCCUUGAUUCUACACUCUUGUGGGUAAUAGACUUUCCUUCCUUGUCGUAGGUUCCUUUUGUUGGGACUUUUUCCUUCCCUCCUUCUUACUUGUUCAUCAUACCAUAGUAAUAAGAAUUUCUUAGAAAUAAGCUACUUUCUCUCCUUCAACUACUGAUCAAUUAGAACCUCGCGUCUGCACGCACCUUGUUUUUAGGACUUUAGGAAAUGGAAGAAUGUCAAAUCGAAUAAUUUGACUUUAUGUACACUAAGACAAGUGAAUGGGUGUCUGUCUUUUAGCUUUUCUUGAUAUACAUGAAUAUAGGACAACCAUAGAGUAGAUGAGAUUAGGGGAAGAUUCUUGAGACCUCAACCUUUGCCGCGACUAUCAAUAUUCUUUGAACCUCUUUUCCUUGCCUUUGUGUCGUUAGUUUGGGAAUCAGGAAGAAGCUAAGCAAGGCAUGAAGAAAUUAUUAACCAUUCUAGAUGUCAUUCAGGUUGGAUGCCAAAUACGAGAAAACCUUUCUGAAGAGUAUGAAUGUGAAAUUCUCAUAAGCAAUGAGAUAGCCACUAGCUUAACCACCAUGAGCCACACCCCGUGGGUCAAUCGUACCCCUUCAGUUCUUUUUCAACCUCAAAAAAUUGAGUGAAGCAUCAAAAUGAAAUUCUUUCACUUCGUUUUCAUCUAUUUUCUAGAGAGCUUUACAAAUAAGGUCUUCAACGCAGAACCUAAUUACAAACUGGUACAAUUGUCUUUCUGUAAGAAGAUUUGAUGGAACUCGUAGCCAAUCGACUGAGAAUUCAAUCUUAUUGUUUGCAUAAAACAGAAAAUUACACAAAAUUACACGUCUUUGUUUCCCUCUCUUCCAAGAGAUAACAGAAAGAUUCAAAUACUGCAAAAAAUAUCCAUAUCCCUCCCUCCCUUAACAAACUUAUUUAUAUGGCUAACUAACCUAUCAUUAACACAUGUCUCCCCCCUUAACAAACUUAUUCCCCUUCCUCCUGUAGUGAUAUAAUAUUGGAGGUCUAACAUUACUCUCCUCCAAAUUCACCUUGUCCUCAAGGUGAAAAUCUGGAAAACGCUGCUUCAACUCCUCAUAUAGCUCCCAAGUAGCCUCAUGUUGUGGAAGGCCCUUCCAUUGCACUAACACGUCCCAGUCUCCCGCCUUGUUUUUUGAAUAACUAUAAACCUUCUCGGGAGUAUCCCUCCAUUCAUGAUUUUCUGUUAAACAGGGAACAUCAUGCUUAUAUUCCUUGUGCUCUCCCAACACCUUUUUUUAGCUGUGAUACAUGAAAUAUCGGGUGUAUGGUUGAAUUCUCUGGUAAUUCCAGCUUGUAGGCCACCGGACCAAUUUUAGCUAUCACCUUGUACGGUCCAAAGAACUUAGGAGAAAGUUUUUCAUUUCGUUUUCUUCUGACAGUCACUUGUCGGUAUGGCCUUAUCUUCAAUAAAACCAAAUCUCCAACUGGUACUGAACCUCUUCUUCUUGGUAUCGCAUAUUUCUUCAUCUUGUCCUGUGCAACUCUCAAGUGUUCACGUAUGGCUCCUAACACCACAUCUCUUUCUCUCAGCUGUUCAUCUAACAUAGAGUUAGUAGUGUCCCUCUCUCCAUAGUAUAUCAAGGGAGGUGGCAAACGCCCGUACAUAACCUGAAAUGGUGUGAGAUCCGAGUGCACGCUGAUAUGUAGUGUAUAUACCAAUAUUCUGCCCACGGUACCCAUUUAACCCAUUCCUUAGGCUUCUCUCCACAAAAGCAACGCAAGAAUGUCUCCACUCCACGGUUAACAACUUCUGUUUGACCAUCCGUUUGUGGAUGAUAUGCUGUGCUGUGGUUCAAUUUGGUUCCUGCUACGCGAAUAAUUCCCUCCAGAAGUGACUUAAAACACCUUGUCUUUAUCUGAAACAAUGGAUUUGGGAUAUCCAUGUAACCGCACGACUUCCUUCACAAAUAUUUCAGCUACCGUCUUUGCUGAAUAUGGAUGUUUCAUAGGGAUGAAAUGUCCAUAUUUACUGAACGAUCAACACUACAAAUAAGACUUCAUACCCUGCUGCUUUAGGUAAUCCCUCCACAAAAUCCAUCGAAAUAUCCUCCCAUACCCGAUUGGGUACCUCUAACAGAGUUAACAGUCCAGCUGGUGAUAGCGCCAAAGUCUUAUUUCUUUGACAUAUCAUGCACUCCUCGCAAUACUUCUUCACUUCCUGCUUCAUACCUUUCCAAUGUAACUCCGCAGCCAUCCUUUUGUAUGUCCUUAAGAACCCGAGUGACCCCCAAAUACCGAAUCAUGAUAAGUGUGUAAGAUGGUGGGAAUCAACUUAGAUGUUUUAGAUAAUUCUAUUCGACCCUUGUACAUCAGCAGCCCUAUAUUGAUUGAAUAUCUUCCCUCCUCCAACUCUUCGGUCUCACUCAAUUUCUGCAUAACAUUCUUCAACUUCUCGUCUUGUGCCACUUCUGCCUUGAUGACUUCGACAUCGAUCAGUUUAGGGGCUGUCAACUGAUUCAAGUGUAUUGUUGGUGGUACUCUAAACAGUGCAUUCGCGGCUUUAUUCUCUAACCCCGGUUUAUACACCACCUCAAAGGAAUAUCCCAAAAGUUUGGAUAUCCACUUAUGAUAUUGGGGCUGUAUCGCUCUCUGUUCCAGCAGAAACUUCAAGGAACGUUGAUCAGUCUUGACUAGAAAACUCUUCCCCACAAGUAUGACCACACCUUUGCACCGCCAUUACUACUGCCAUCAACUCUCUCUCGUAUACAGUUUGUAUGACUAAUAAUACGCAAAUUGGUCGUUGGUUCUGGAUUAACAAGCCCCCAACCCGAAUCCAGAAGCGUCAGUUUCUAUUUCAAAGGGCAUAUUGAAAUCAGGUAGAGCUAACACGGGAAGUGUCAUCAUGGCUUGUUUCAACCUAUUGAAUGCUUCCUGAACCUCCCUCGUCCAUAUAAAUCCUCCUAUCUUCAGUAAUUGUGUCAAAGGAGCUGCAAUUGUCCCAUAAUUUUGGACAAACUUGCGAUAAUACCCUGUCAGACCAAGGAAUCCCCUUACUUCCCUUACGUUAACAGGAGCGGGCCACUCCCUUAUUGCCCUGAUCUUUUCAGGAUCCACCUCAACUCCAUCCCCUGAAAUAAUAUGUCCUAAGUAGUCCACCCGAGACUGAGCAAAGUUACAUUUCUUCCUGUUUGCAUAGAGUGCAUUCCUCCUCAAUACUUCUAAUAUUGCCUCAAAUGACUCAGAUGAUCUUUCAACCCCUUGCUGUAGAUCAAAAUAUCAUCAAAGAAUACUAAGACGAACCUUCUUAGGUAGGGCUUGAAUAUAGUAUUCAUCAAUGAUUGAAAAGUGGAUGGUGCAUUAGUCAACCCGAACGACAUUACCAAAAACUCAUAAUGACCCUCAUGAGUUCUGAAUGCUGUCUUUUCAAUGUCAUCAGUACUCAUCCUAAUUUGAUGAUACCCUGAUUUUAGAUCAAUCUUCGUAAAAACUGUGGCUCCAUUCAACUCAUCAAACAACUCCUCAAUCACUGGAAUUGGGAACUUGUCUGGUACGGUAACGUUAUUCAAGGCCCUGUAAUCCACACAAAAACGCCAGCUUCCAUCUUUCUUUCUUACAAUGUACUGGACUGGAAUAAGGACUUGUGCUUGGCUGUAUUACUCCCGAUGCUAGCAUUUCUUCCACCAGUUUCUCCAUUUCUGCCUUCUGGUGAUAUGCAUACCUAUAGGGUCGUACGUUCACUGGAUCGGUUCCCUUCUUUAGGUGAAUCUGGUGUUCUAUUACUCUUCGUGGUGGCAACGUUUCGGGCCACCUCAAAGACAUCUUCGAAGCUUUUCAACACUGCUGACUGACCUCUACAGCCAAAGUUUCAUCAAACGAGUUAUCCUUUCUAAGUCUUCCCUUCUUUCUAAAGCUCUGCAUUCGACCAAAAACCCUUGAUCCUUGUCUCCCCAAGAUUUCAUAAGGGUCUUUAAGCUGACUCUUGCCUUUGUUAGACUGGGGUCUCCCUUUAUAACAAUCUUCUCUCCGUGGUGGGUAAAAGUCAGAAUUAAGUUUUUCCAGUCUACUUCCGUUAUACCAAGAAGACGAAGAAGAUAAGAGAAGGGGAGAGGACGAGAAAGUAGAGAGAGAGAGAGAGCCGUUAGAGAAGAAGUAGGGGAAGAAAUUUGAAACGUGAGUGAGAGAGAAGGGGAGAUGAGGGAUUAAAAUAUAUUUGAAUUAUUUGUGAUAAACCCAUUUAAAACCACAAACAAUUUCUUUAUAACUAAAACAAAUAUUUUGUUUUUAAAAUUUAGACUAAAAAAUCAAAUUUUACGAGAUAAAAUUUUCAGUAACGAUAAAGCAAAAAAUAUAUAUUUUGUUUUUCAAAUAAUUAUAAUCCAAAAUUUUCAAGAAAUGUGAAAUUUCAUUUAAUAAGAUAAAACAUUAGUUUCCAACUUUGGCAAUGGAUGAAAGUAUUAGAAAUUGAAAAAUAAUUGUUAGACAUCAUGUUAGCCGUCACCACAAACCAAUCCAAUUUUCAUUCAAAAAUGUUGAAUUUAUAAUUAAUGUUCUCGAAACAUUCAUACAAUUUUUUUUUUUUAAUUUAACUUACUUAAUUGAGUUUUCUUACGAUGUUCAUGUCGAUAUUAUACGAAAAAUUGUCUUAAAUGAUAAAAUUGCUGAAGAUAUUCACAAAUAUAACAAAGUUUUACCGUCUGUUAGUUACUGAUAGAACAUGUACUAGUGGUCUAUCAAUUAUCCUCUAUGGUUUUAGUUUAGUGGUUAUUUAUCAACUCUUAAUAAAUUAAGUAGUGAUUUAACAAUAUAAUGUAAAAGAAUAUUCCAAGAAUAACCUUGGAGUAUCACUUGAAUUUUCAAAACGACCUAACAAUGCUAAACUAUAAGCUCAUAACUCAUAACCUAUCAAAAAAGUACAAUAAAACAAAAAAACUAUUUAAAUCUUAAAAAUGAAAUAUGAGAAAAAAAUGAAAAGAGAAGAAAUAAAUUUUAAAGUAUAUGUAAAUUUUAGAUAUUAAGUAAAAAAGAGAAUAUGUAAGAUGAAUUUUAAUCGGUAAGAAUAUGGAUGUUUAGAAACAAAUUUUUAAUUUUUUAAAAGUUGAUUUAUAAUCAUUUGAUUUCUUUAAAUUCAACAACAUAAACAUAAAAUGAUUUGAUUUUGAAUUUAUCACACCUUACAAAUAUUUUUCAAAUUUCAAAUCAAGAGUUAAGUUUGUUGACCUUACCCACUUGAUUGCCAUUUUGGGACUUGUUUAAGACUAAGUUUGUUUCACUUGCAUACUUGGUUGUCAUUUUAGGUCUCAAAGUGCAUUUUUCACGCAUUUUGAACUUUUUUUUUUAAUGGGCUUUAUAAAAAAUAAUUCAAAUGGAAUUGGCAGAUGGCUGAGGGCCUUCGUGAAACGUGGGAGAGAAGCGAUAAGAAUAUGUAUGUCUUAAUGGUCAUAGAAAUUUAUUAUGCUUGGUUUUUGCUUGAAAAGUUUUCUAUUAUUUACUUUAUUGAACACACGAGCACCCGUACAUCUGGAUUUGUAAGAAUAUGUAUCGUUAUAAGGUUUCCAUCCAUCUUUCUUAUGCCAUCGAUGAAGUUUUCGCUUAGAUCUUUAUCUUAGUUCGGCCUCUUUAAAAUAUAUGUUACUCCAUACAAGGAAGAUCGAAAGUUGUGAUUACCAAGUGUAGAUUUGUAUUGUAUAGUUGCCUUAGUUAUUUUUUUAAUUAUUCUUUUUAGACGUUAUUUUCUUUAUAAUUAGUUCUCUUUAGUUAAAUUUCUAUUAAAUUAUACUUACCUAUUAUCAAAUCCUUUUUCCGUAAUAAGAGAAAAUGGAGUUUUUCUCAAAUAACAAAAAGUGAUUAUUUAAGAUAGUAUGCUAAAGGGAACACAUCCAACUACCAUGUUCAGAAUAUUACCUUUGCCGAUUGAAAGUCUUGGAUUCUUGGUCAACUUUGAACGCAAAUUUUUCUUAGUUGAUUAAUAAAUAUCAGGGUAAAAAGAUCUUAUAUUGUAAUAUUGUUUUGCUUCACUUGCAUCAUACACUAUUUUUUUACACUUAUAAUAAAAAGCCCAUAGAAAGUAGAGAACUUGUGUAGAGAACUCUUCACUCUUGCCUGAAGCUACAAUAGCCCGUAGAAAGUAGGAGAGUUAAGCUUGUUAGGUUAGAAUGCGUUGGGUUCACUUGGGAUCAAAACUUGCAUAGAACUUUUCACUCACGGUCGAAGCCACAAUAGCUAGUAGAAAGUAGGAGAGUAAGCCUAUUAAGUCAUAAUGCAUCGGGUUCCUUCAGGAUCAAACUUUGGUAGGAAACUCUUCACUCUCGACCGAAGCCACAAUAACACGUAAAAAGUAGGAAAGAUAAGGUGGUUAGGUCGGAAUGCAUCGGGUUCCUUCCAUAUUAGUAUUUGCGUAGGGAACUCUUCACUCUUGGCGAAAACAACAAUUUUCUGUAGAAAGUAGGUGAGUUGAAGCGAUUAGAUCAGAAUGCGAUGGGUUCCUUCGGGAUCAAUACUUGCGUAGGGAACUUUUAACUCUUGGCGGAAGCAAAAAUAGCCCGUAAAAAGUCGAAGAGUUAAGCCAAUUAGGUUAGAAUGCGUCGAGUUCCUUCGGGAUUAAAAUUUUCGUAGGGAACUCUUCACUCUUGGCCGAAGCAGAAAAGUUAAGCCAGUUGGGUCAGAAUGCGCUUGGUUCUUUAAUAUAUUACAUGUUUGUACCUUUUCAAUUCAAUACUAGAUACUUUUCACUUGUCAAUGUGUUAUUAGUAGUUUAAUUUAGCGAUAAGUUAUUGAUAAGAAGUUUAGUUUAUAAUUCUCGUCGCAUUAGUUAGGCUAUGCUCAUCGCUUAGCCAACGUCAAUCGCCAACUACUCGAGAGGGCAAGUAGCAAGGAUAAGGCUAAUACGUGCAAGGGGGAGUUUCGCGACAAACUCCACCUUAGUGAGAUAACUUCCAUCAUUUGUAUACCAAGAGAUGAACAAGUGUGGACAUUAGGCACCGAGAGGUUGUUGUCCUUAAUUGCGAAGCUCUAUACAUUUUAUAAGUGAAAUCUUCUAGAUAUAUCUCUCCUAAGCACACUUAAUCAUAUGGAUUCUGAGAGGUGACCAUAUGUGACGUUUAAUGACUCUGAGAGGAGCACUUCUUAAUUAUAAGUUAGUUGAGCGAGAUAUAUCCUAUUAAAGUUGUCGUGUUACUUAAUCGCAUUAUAACGCAAAGACAUUCCUUUGCUCUUUCUUGCAUACAAGUUAGUUCCCAUUUCUAUUUUGUCAUCCAUAUUCCCAAUCUCUAAGCGUAGAUAUCUAGUGGUAGUUUGUUCUUGUAUUUCUUUUAUACCAUUCGUUAUUCUUUAAUUCUUUUAUACUGCCUAGAUGAUAAGUAAUACCUAAAAUUAAUAUCUUGAAUCAAUUCCUUAUGUUCGACCUGGGAUCACCCCGGUAAACCUACCAUUUCACUUGCACUUGGACAAGUAGUAAGAAAACUUGUACUCAAGAGGACUUAGUUGCCACACGAUAUGAAGGUCUAGUGAGCAAUUCACAUGCAGUUAACAUGCUUAGUGAUAUAUCGCCUAGAUUGAGUAUAAUUUUCAUUCACCAUUUACUAACACUAAGUCCUGAUUGUUGAAGAGAAACAACACCUCAAUAACCGGAGCGAUCGACUUCUAUCUUUAGUUAUUCGAUCUUGAACCUUAAUUGCACCGAGAGAUGGCCUGGGAUGAAACAAAUUUACCUUUAUUUUAUUCAGUCUCGAGCAUACAUUGUCCUAAGAUGCUACAUUAUGAAAGACUUCUGCCUUUAGUUAUUCGAUCUCAGGCCUUAAUUGCACUGAAAUGGCUCGGGAUGAAAGAAUUCUGUCUUUAUUUUAUUUAAUCUUGGGCAUACAUUACAUUGAGAUGCUCCGAAAUGAAAUUUUUUUGCCUUUAGUUAUUCGAUCUCGACCUUAAUUGCAUCGAGAUGACCCGUUAUUAAUAAAUCACAAAGAAGAUAUAAAUCGCAAGAACGUCUAUGGAAUUUGUGAAAAAAUCUCGCAUCAUGGACUUUUCUUAUUUUGUUAUACGAACCAUAAAUAUUUUGGAUUUUUCUACAUUUAUGUAAAUUACUCUUAAAUUAAUCUAAUUAUAUUUAAUUGGAAAUCACUGCCACUUGGAUAUAGGAAUACGGGAGCAUCCCACAUUCUCUAAAUAACACCCACAUAUGGAAGUUAUUAUCUUAAUUUAAAUUAAUGAUCACAAAUAGCAAAAAAAAGUUAAAACUAUUUACAAAAUAUAGCUAAAAAUUGAAACUAUUUACAAAAAAAACUCAAAUGUGCUAUAGAGAAUUUAAUUAUUAUGCUAAUUAGUUUCAAUUUAAUUAGUAUAUUUGAAAAUUCCACUUAAAUUUGAUUAACACUAAAAUAAUUAGUUAAUAUAUAAUAAUUAUUUAAAUCACAUUUAAUUAAUAUUUCAUUUAAAUCACAUUUAAAUGAAUAUCUCUCACAUAACCAAUAGUUUUAAUUUAAUUAAAUAGAAUUAAACUAAAUUAUUAAUUAAUUCUUCAAUUAUUUAAUUUCUAAAUUAAAUAUUUUAUAUUUGAUUUAAUAUAGAUUUGAAUCAUACUCAUAUAUGAAUUUCUCUCAUAACCUAUUGUUUGAAUUUGUAUCAUAUACGUAUUAAAUUUUAAUCUAUAGUUUUAUUACAAAUUUAAUUCAUAUUAAAUUAAUAUUUGAACUCAUUCAAAUAUUUAUUAUUUCAUAAAUUAAUUUUAAAUCAUAUACAAAAUUAAAUUUAUAUAAUAAAGUUCAAUUAAAAGAUAAAUUUUAUAUUAUAAUAUAUCACCAUACAUUAUACUAAUUUUCAAAGUAAAUAUGAACAUUUCAAAUUACAGUCAAUAUGUAAUAACCUUAAUACCCUUUACAUACUAGGAAGGGACCUAAUAAAUUUACAUUUCAAAGUGAAAUCAAUUUAUUUACUUUAGUUGUCGUAUUAUCCUUAAGAGCACCUCAUGCCUCCACAUCAAUAAUCAUUUUAUCUCAUUGCAACAAUCACCCAUAUAAAUAUUGAAUCAACAUAUGGUUCUGUACCUAAUGAUGAAAAACUUGGCACUGAGCCAAGUAUUUCCCCCAAUAAUCGUAAAGUGAUUCAUCCUUUCCUUGUGUGAUGCCAUAGACUUUCUUCCUCACACUAGUAGCAUAAAAGGUUGAAAAGAACUUUUCCAAAUAUUGUCUCUACAUCUACUCCCAUGAAAUAAUGCUCCCUGGUGACAAGUAAUAGAGCUAAUCUUUCACUUCUUCGUGUUACGAGAAGGGAAAAGCUCUCAUGUUCGUCUGCUCAAGGGUUAUAAUGUGAGGACUCAUUCCAUUGCAAACAAUAUGGGGCUCGGCUAUCGAGAAAUAUACUACGACUGAACCCUAAGUGGAAGUCCAUAAGUUCACUUUAGCAGUUAGCUAAAUGAAAAUCUACUUAUAAUAUGGAGCAAGCACUAGAAGAAAUUUGCUCUUUAUUGUCAGUUUAGAACCGACAUUAAUGGCAUUUGGUGUCAGUUCGGAAUUGACAUCUAUGCUAGCGUUUUUAAAGGCCUUUAAUGUCAUUUUUGCUUUGAUGUCAGUUUAAAAAUGACAUCAAAUGCAUCAUUAAUGGCCAUUGAUGUCGGUUUUAAAUCAACAUUUUUUAUGGCGUAAUUGUUGACCUUUACUGUCGGUUUUCCUUUAAUGUCGUUUUUAAACCGACAUCAAAGCCUUGUUUGUUUUUUUAAUUUAUUUAUUUUAAUUAUUUUUCAUGGUGUCGAAAUCGACAUUAUUUGUUACGAAUUACGACAUGAAAUGUUCGUCAUCGAAUAUUAAAAAAGUAUAAAAAAUAGUUGUUGCAUGAUUGCUAGCUGUCUACCACUCCAUGGCAAACCUUAUAUAUUACUUCCAUAUUUCACCUGCAAGGCAGAAGAUCAACACCUACAAAACAAGCAUACACUUCCACACAUCCAAUGGCAAACUAAUACUAUUUCUAGCUAUAUAGAAUUCAAACCUACAAAACCAGCACAUACACUUCCACACUUCGAUGCAAACUAAUAAUAUUUCUAGCUACAGAAUUCAACACCUAAAAACCCAACAUAUAUGCAUUUUUCCACACUUCCAUAGCAAACCAAUAUUUCCAUUUCACCUACAAGGAAGAAGAUCAACACCUACAAAACCAGCAUACACUUCCACACAUCCAAUGACAAACUAAUAUAUUUCUAGCUAUAUAAUUCAACAUGUAAGAAACCUACAAAACCAACACAUACAUUUCCACACUUCCAUGGCAAACCAAUAUUUCCAUUUCACCUACAAGGAAGAUCAACCCCUACAAAACCAGCAUACACUUCCACACAUCCAAUGGCAAACUAAUACUAUUUCUAGCUAUAGAAUUCAACAUGGUAAGAGGCCACAAAACCAGCACAUACACUUCCACACUUCCAUGGAAAACUACAAAAAUACACUUUUCCACACUUUCAUAAUACUACAGAAAUACACAUAUCAAUCAAGUAAAUAAUAUGUAAAGUAUUAAAGUAUGUGUACAACAAAUUCCUCCACUAAUACACACUUUCCACAUAGUACUACAACAAAUACACUCUAAAGUCAACACCUAAAACACUACAAUACAACACCUAUUCAUAAACUACUACAAGCAGAAAACCUGAAAAUUAAAGUAUGUACAACAAGUAGUACUAGAAUCUCGUAGCUUAUAUAUUAAAACAAUUAGUAUUAGUACUAGUAACUUAUAAACUACAAAAAAAAGUGUAAAAGCUUACACAAAUCGGCUAACAAAGCUUGCAUAUUUUGUUCAAAUCUCGUCAAUCUCCUCUUGCGUAUAUGCACUUUUUUGUAUUAAACUACGCAAAAAGAAAGGUAUGGAAAGAAUAAGUUUAGAUAAUUUAUGUAAUUUGUAACAUAUAAAAAGUGAAAGUAGAAACUUACAAGGCUAGUGAUGGGAGUACUAGAAUUAUGCACGAUUUCAUGUAUAUACUUUUGGACAUAAUACCCACACCCAACCGAAUCCAAUUGACGAGGACACUGCAUGUAUAUAAAUUACAUACAAAUUAUUCUUAUGUUUCAUUGAAAAUAAUUAUGUGUCAAUGCAAAUUACCUUUAUAGGUUUCCAUUUCGGAUUUGACCGAUAAUGUUGUAAAUCAUGCUUAGCUUGCCAUGUUUUUAAUCCUCUAUACAUUUGGAAACAUUAGAAUUAGAAGACAAUGAAGUCAAAUAAGAAGUAAAUCAUAAGUCACAUUUAUGACUCCAUGGAUGUCUUCGUUAACUUUACUUUGAAGAGAGUCCAAAACAUAAACACAGUUCUCUCGAAGAUCGAUGACAUGCAACAUCCAAUGAAAACUACAAUAAACAUCUUCAAUGUGAGUAUACAUUUAACCUCAAUGAAAAACAUAAUAAUGUUUAAUCUUAUUUAUUUACCCAGUAUUAUACGGAAUUAGAACUAUUUGUUCCAAGGUAGCCGCUUCUAACUGGUUGGCAAAAUUUCUGGAUCGAAGAUCACGAUCCUUGAUAUGUGAUGUUAUUUUUGCUUGGUCAUAACAAAAAACUUGCUUCCACAAUCACAUUCAUCCCAAAGAUAUCUAAGUAAAAGCAACCUUAGUUAAAAAGGAACAAAAUAACUAUAGCUAUAGUAUUGGACAUAAAGAUGAGUAAAAGAUGUUUACUUACGUAAUGUAUGCUAGGAUGCACAUAUAGCCUAUUUCUACCAUGCCGCAAUAAUGGAGCAAGUCCUAACGAGCUAAAUAAAUGAAUUUGUUUUUACCGAAUAUUAGCUCGUUCAUUAGGAUGCGAACCAUAUCUACAUCCUUCAUAUUGUUCACGACAUGUCCAUAUAAGAGCUUAAUGGUUCCAUUAACAUUUAUGUAAUUUGAAGAAUACAGAACAUCCUUUGGGGUUGAAUGCUCCAAGCACAAACAAAAUAAUAUCAAAACCUAAAAUACAAUCACAAAUAAAUAUCAAAGCUUCAAUAGCACAUAAACAAGUCAACGAGGUCAUUCAACAAUAUUACCUAAUGCUUGAUUUAAAGUCUCUAUCUUGCCCUUCACUGGAAUAGGUAAACUACAAUCUCCUCCUGUGAGCAAGUCCACCAAGAUUUUAACAUUGGGACCACCAUUGCUAUCAUCAAGUAUGGUUGCUAUUGCAACAAUAUUAUUAAUCGUUCCUAUAGCCAAUUUGCACGGUGUUUACUUUACAAGUAUUAAAAGCAUCAUUAAGAACAAUUUAUCCUAUAAACAUUAAAAUUUUAAAAGUGACAACAAAGUUAAUUACCUUCACUUCUUCGUUCAUAGGUGUGUUGCCCAAAUCCUCAUCGGCAUAGAGAUCUAUGUUAACACUUCUGAUGGACGAUCUCAAGUGAUUAUGACCCUUUUUGUAACUUUUGCUUUUUGAGUCAUCUUCUACAACUUGAGAACUUGCAAUUUUCUCUUUCCCUUUCACUGUCUUGAAAUAUAGUGAUUGAGAGACAAAACCACCCAUGCCACGUACACGUCCACCAUGCUCCUUAGAGCCCAAUGACUCAGUCAAUAUGUCCUCAUCUCUAUGUGUUUCAGCUAAUGCAUCCCAUAGAACAAUACAAGUAUUCAUCAUUAACUAAGUUAACAAAAGAUUAAAUAUUGUAUAUAAGUAAAUCGCAAGCAAACUUACGAUUCGAGAGACACAAUCUCGAGUAGCAUCAUCAAAAUAAUCAUUGUUUUUUCCUUUUCUUGCACACGCACACGCACACACCCACACGCACACGCACACACCCACACACACACGUGCACACACACGAACACACGCAUGAACGCAUGCACACAUCCACAGACACAUGCACGCAAACACGCACGUCCACCCAUACGGGCACAUGCGCACUCACACACACGCACACCCACCUACACGGGCACAUGCACGCACGCGCACAAAUGCGCAUGCACACGCGCGCGCGUACAUGCACAUGCACACACACGAACACAUACGCACGCACACACAUGUGCACACACAUGCACUCGCACACGCACACCCACCCACACGGGCACAUGCGCACUUGCACACACGCACCGACACACAUGCACGCACGCGCACCCACAUGGGCACAUGUGCACUCAUACACACACAAGCACAUGUACACCCACCCACAUUGGCACACGUGCACUCGCACACGCACAUGCAUACACCCACACACACACACGUCCAUGCGCAUGCACGCACACGAACACACGCAUGAACGCACACACACAUCAAGACACGCACGCGUACACACACACACAUACAUGUACGAACAUACGCACACCCACCCACACAAACAUAUGCGCACUUGCACACAUGCACACACACACCCACACACAUGCACGCACGCGCACAUGCACACUCAUCCACACGGACACAUACGCACUAACACACACGAGCACACACACCCACACAGACACACGCGCACUUUCACACGCACACACAAGCACACGCAUGCGCACACGCAUACGUACACACCCACAUACAUGCGCAUGCACACACACGAACACACGCAUGAACGCACGCACACAUCCACACACACACACGCACGUACACAUGCGCGCACACAAUCACCCACACGGGCACAUGUGCACUUGCACACACCCACCGACACCAUGCAAGCACGCGCACAUGCACAUCCACACACACGGACACAUGUGCAGUCACACACACGCACGCACACACACUCAUAUGGGCACACGCACAAUCUCACACGCACACACAAGCACACGCACACACACAAGCACAUGCACAUGCACACACACGAACACACACAUGAACGCACGCACAUUCACACAUGCACACACACAUCACACAUGCACACAACACACACACAACGCACACGCACAUCAACCCACACGGGCAAACGCGCACUCGCACAUAUGCACACACACACGCACACACGUACAUAUGCACAAAGAUGUGAAAAUGAAUUAAAUUUAAAAAACAAUUACAUUAAUUGUGUUUAGAAUAACUUUUAAACUAUAUUCAUUUAACUUAAUAACAUUAAUUAAAUUAUAAUUUUUAUUAAUAUUGAUUUAAGAGUGUCAUUAGUGUAAUUAUAUCAAUAUAAUGCGGUCUUAUCCAAUUUUACCAACAAAAAACAAGUCAAAUAUGAACUAGUAAAUCCACACUCUUUGUCAUAAGAGAUAUAAUAACGUUUUUAUGGGUCAUUUUAAAAAAUGACAAAACAACUUUUUCUUUUGAAUUUUAGCAAAUAGCAUUUUUUAUCUGAAAAAGAUACAUCAACCCAUAAUACAUCAACCCAUAAUAACGUUUUUAGAUCCGUCCCAAAACGAUCAAAAUGGGGGCCACCAAUGUCGUGGCCUCAAAAGAAAUUACCUAGCCCAGAAAAGUGUCGGAGGUCUCGAAAGUUCAAAUCCAGCUACUAGGUGGUCUCAUCUCGAGAAGGUUCAGAGUUUUUUUGCCCGCAAAAGCCGAACGGUGAUGCCCAAGGCUCUGCUUUUUAGUUCUGUCCCAAAACGACGAAAAUGGGGCCACCAAUGCCAUGACCCUAAAGAAAACUACCCAAACCAAAACAUGGUCGGAGAUCUCAAAAGCUCACAUCCACCUACUGGGUCGUCUCGUCUCGAGUAGUGUUAGAGUUUUUUUUUUUUUUUGCACACAAAAGUCGAACGACGAUUCUCCUUGUUUCGCUUCUUAGUUUCGUCCCAAAAUGCCGAAAAGGGGGUCAUUAAUGUCGUGGCCCUAAAGAAAACUACCCAACCCAGAACAAUGUCAGAGGUCUCAAAAGUUCACAUCCAACCACUGAUGGUCUAGUCUCGAGUAGUGUUAGAGUUUUUUUCCCGCAAAAGCCGAACGGAUGCCCACGGUUCGCUUUUUAGUUUCGUCCUAAAACGCCGUAAAGGGGGUCACCAAUGCGUAGCCCCCAAAGAAACUACCCAGCCCAGAACAGUGUUGGAGGUCUCGAAAGUUCACCUCCAGAUACUAGGUGGUCUCGUCUUGAGUAGUGUUAGAGUUUUUUUUGCCGCAAAAGUUGAACGGUGAUUUCCUUGGUUUCGCUUCUUAGUUUCGUCCCAAAACGCCGAAAAGGGGGCCACCAAUGUCGUGUCCCCAAAAGAAUCUGCCCAACUUAGAAUAGUGUCGAAGGUCUCGAAAGUUCACAUCCAGGUACUCGUGGUGUCGUCUCCAGUAGUGUUAGAGUUUUUAUGGCCUGCAAAAACCAAACGGUGAUGCUCAGGCUCUGCUUUUUAGUUUCGUCCCUAAACGUCGAAAAAGGGGCCACCAAUGUCGUGACCCUAAAGAAACUACCCAACCCAGAACAGUGUCGAAGGUGUCAAAAGUUCACAUCCACCUACUGAGUCGUCUCGUCUCGAGUAGUGUUAGUGUUUUUUUGCUUGCAAAAGCUGAACGGUGAUACCUAAGGCUCUUUUUUUUAGUUCAGUCCUAAAACACCGAAAGGGGGCCACCAAUACCGUGGCCUCCAAAGAAACUACCCAACCUAAAACAAUGUCGGAGGUCUCGAAAGUUCACAUCCAACUACUGGGUGGUCUCGUCUCGAGUAGUGUUAGAGUUUUAUUUGGACGCAAAAGUCGAACAGUGCUGUUUUAAGGUUCGCUUUUUAGUUCCGUUCCAAAACGCCAAAAAGGGGGGCUACCAAUGUCAUGUCCACGAAAGAAACAACCUAACCCAGAACAGUGUCGGAGGUCUCAAAAAUUCACAUCCAGCUACUUGGUUAUUUCCUUGGUUUCGCUUCUUAGUUUUGUCCCAAAACGUCGAAAAGGGGGCCACCAAUAACGUGGUCUCGAAAGAAACUAUCUAGCCCAUAACAGUGUCGGAGGUCUCGAAAGUUCACAUCCAGCUACUGGGUGGUCUCGUCUCGAGUAAUGUUAGAGUUUUAUUUGCCUGCCAAAGCCGAACGGUGAUGCCCUAGGGCCCACUCUUUAGUUCCGUCCCAAAACGUCGAAAAUGGGGCCAUCAAUGUCGUGGCCACCAAAGGUCCAGGUGACUAUUAUCUCAAACUUCCCUUUCAAGAUCUGACAACUCCCCAUCGCGGAGGCUAAUCUGCCUAGAGGAGUUCAGUAGUUGAAGAAGUGCUUUGUUUUUUCUCUUUCUUUAGAGUAUUAACUUAGUCGAUCACUCGAAGAGAAUUAGAUGGUAAGUUGUAUUGCCUACAGCUUUCAACCCUUUCUUCCAUAAUCUCCAGAACAAGAAACCCCAUAUUCAUCCCACCCCAAGGAAGGGAAGACCUAGUCGGCAGAACAAAAUAGGCCUCGUAGACCAAGGAAGAGUCUGAGGCUCAAGCCUCAUCCCUUGAAUAAGAGGAGGCGCAAAGAAUAUUGCGAAGAUUUUUGCUUUCUUUUGUGGUGCAAAGAAUAUUGCGAAACUUUCCAAGUCAAAAGAAGCCAGAGGAGACGAUAAAGGAGGGAGAGAGACUGACAUCAAGAUCAAGAGCAAGCCUUUCUUUUUCAAGUGUCGUUGCGGUGAGUUAUCGUGUAGUCUAUCGUGGCUUUUAACGAGCUGCUGAUGAAAAGACAAGAAGAAGAAAGCCUACCCUUGAACUGCGGAGUAUGAGUGAAAGGUUAGGCCUUACGAAAAAAUUCCCCGAUCGAAGAGCGCCUAACCGCUUGGGAUAGCCUAUGAACAUUGAUUCAGUCAAUCCUACCUCUCUCUCAAGUAAACUAGCUGAAGCAGUUCCAUUCCUCAAAAUAUGAGAAAGCUUCUCCGACUUGAGUUAGCUAGCUUUACCGUUUGUGACCUUGAAAAUAGGCUUUCAAUCGAUUAGAUAACCUCUUUAGUCGAGCUAGUCCCACUUACUAUGGCAAGAAAUAAGGAGCCCUUGCACUCCUCCUUAUUGUCCCACUCCGAGAACUAUGUUCGGAGUCUACUCUCCCCUCGAAAAGAGCCCACGUAGCAUCAACUCAUCUGGAGCUUGAUUUUCUCCACUCCUACUUACUCUAACCUCUUGAAGUAUAAUAACCUUCCUUUUAGAAAGUCUGGAAAGACGGAUGACUCCUACUGGUCAAUAUUUGGUCUAGUCGUCUGACUUUCCCCUUCUGAGCCUUAGCAAGUGAAAAGAAAGUGAGAAUUCCACAGAGAAGAUUAAGUUCAGGGGAGCGAGCAUCGAGGCUAAUCUCCUUCACUAUCUUAAAUGGGACAGGUCCUAUUCUUUCCUAAUAGUGCAUCACAUGCCUUUCUAGAUGAUAGAUGAGGAAAUCCUAAACUCCCGACUAGUCUCUAAUCCCAAGGAUGGAUAAUAUUCCACCUGAGAAAAGUCACCCAUGGGGCGGUGAAUUGGUCGUCUUUUAGCUUCUUACUCUACCCUAAGAUGGAAAAGAAAGCUCUUCUUCUUCAUGGUUUGAGGGCCUUUGGAUUGAUGGGACGGAAAGAGCAAAGUUCAGCAAGAUCCAUCAUCAAUAAAGAACACGAGGUCUACAAUCUUUAACAGAUGUCGCUCCCCUCUCGCCUUUACCUAGCCUAUGCUGAAUCGCUCCUCUUUAGACUCUUCUUUGCUCUUGGUCUGCGAGAUAGCAAGAUUGAAUGCUAGGUAGUCCUCUUUUUCACCCUUUGCCUAGGCCUAGACACCUAUGGAAGUGAGCCUUUACUCAUAAGAACCGCUACUGAUUACAUUCCGUCUAUCUUACCAGAAAGACUAUUUCAAGGAAUGCGGAAUGAAAAAAGAAUAAAAGCAUAUUCACUAGUACUCUCCAGCUGCUAUGGCACCAACCAUUCAUUCAAUCUCGAUUCCUUUUUGCUUCUCAAUUUCAUCGAGCUCUUGUCCAAUUCGUGCAAAGACUAGUUUACUAGUGUUAUUUCUACAAAACGAAUGUUCAGAUAAGAGAAACUUCAUCGAGAAAGAAAGCGAAAAUUUUCACUGGUUAAUAUGGAUAGUCCUUCAGACCUGUCUCGCAAUAUGCUUUGCGUCUUAUCCAUAGAUCUUUGCACCUUGCCUCUAAAUUAGAGUAAAAGGCAUAAAUAUAAAUCAUGAUGAUAAGGAAAAGUCAAAAUUUAUGAGAUCAAACUCAACCUCUGUGCUCAAAGGGGUAUGUACUGAUUCCCCACCUCGCCCAGAGGAAAAGAAGAAUGAAGGAAAGGUGCAAAGAGUUAUGCCUUCAAACUAAAAAAAGGCGAUCAAAAGGACAGGUCUUAUCUUUGUUCAUUGGUUCUUCCUACCAAGAAAAUUGAUCAGUCCCUAGAAUUAUAUUUCUUACUUGAUGAUGGAAGACUUGAAGCCUCAUUACUUGGAGUUGACUCCUUUGAAGCUACUAUAGAUGCUUUCGUUGAACCUUCUGAACCUGGGGUUUAUGGUAAGCUUUCCUUUCGCCCUAGGAGAAGGCUAUGUGGCUUUCUUUCUUUGUGUCUAGUAAGAGGAAAGCCGCCAAGGAAUAGGAAUCACUCAAUUCAUUCAACCUUAAGAAUCGCUUCACUUCAAGCCUUCGUAGCUUAAUAAUUCAUUCUUUCUCAAAUUCUUUGAUCAUCUUGAGCCAGCCGAUCUGGAGGACUUAAGGAUUCCGCUAAAGUUGCAAACGUUAAGAGUAUUAAGGCCACUCCAAAGGAGUCUUACCAAUAAUAUCCAUCUUGAUCCUUUAUAAAUAAAUUUCAGACGUUAGGCACAAAGAAUAUUGUGAGUCCGCUCCUCUUGAGUUUGAUUCCAAUAAUAUUUUUCAUGAUUCUUUAUAAAGCAGUUUCAAAUUUUUGAUGAAUUUUACAAUGAGCCUACCUUCCUCCCGUAGAUCAAUCUAUGAGCCUUAUGGUUGGGGCCUUUGUCCUUAUGGCAAGAGUUUCGUUUGUCCCUGCUAGUUCAUCCCUCUCCUUAAUAAAGAAAGAAGAGGAUAUUCACAACAAAUAAAGAAAAAAGAGCAGCUAAUACGGCUAAGAAAGUGCCACGCCCCGCUCCGAGCACCUGCUUGCUCAACCCGAGAUGUAGCGUGAAACCAACUGAUGUCAUUAUUCUUCUGAACAACAUUAAUUGACCCUAACUAUAACUUACUUCUAACAACCUAUAUGAAUUAAAACUUAUGUAGCAGAAACUAAGAGAAAUAACUUGAACAGCUUUUUAAACUUUAAACAGGUAGUCGAGGCUAAAUGCCAUUAAUUACAAACUUUACUUACAGACCAAACAAAAAUUAAACAACUUAAACUUAUGCAAACCAUGUACAUGAUAAGAUUAAAACCGACCCUUAAAAACUAACUAUCAACAAGUUUCACACUGCAAUCUGAAGACAACGGUCAGGUUCUCGAAUCACGACCUCUACCUGGAAAGUGAAAAAACAUUUUGAAAGGGUGAGCUAAAAAGGCCAGUGAGUGAUAGUUUUAUAAAACAAAUAUACUUUAAACAUUUCAGAAAUAUAACAUAAAGUCUUUAAGAAAUCUCCUUUAACUUAACACUUUAUAACAUUCAAAUACUUCUGUCAUAAACAAGAUAGCAGAGUGCCUUCUGUCAUACUAUCGCGUUAACCUCGAUUAAAUACUCGGUUAGGAUAGCAGAGAACUGAUCUUUUUAUUCCUGCCUGAACUCGGUCAAGAUAGUAGAGUACUGAUCAUAUUAUUCUUGCCUGAACUCGGUGGUAGCGACUAAGUGGUCAGCAUAGCUCUAUACCUCUACUGUGCACAUUGACCAUCGAGAACUCGAUAUAUAGAGUACCAUGAUUUUCUCUUUAAAAAAAAUUCUAUUGAGCUCAUGCUUUUUAUAAAUCAUUGCUUGUAAGUCUUAUAAAUACAUGCUUGCUAAAAAUGUUUCUAAACUCAUGUUAUAGAAUACUUUUUUAAAUAACAUGCAUUAAUAUUUUUCAUAAACAUAUUGAUAAAUAGAAAUAAGAUUCACUUAAAAGCCUACUUAAAUAAUAGCUCGAAAAACAUAUUAGAAUCAUUAUCAUUUUGCAAAUUAUAAGUUGAAAUAAUCGUAGUAAAUUUAUUUUUCACUCACUGAUCGCAGAUCAAACCCUUGGAAGAUAAGCUUGUCUAAUUUCCCCUUGUCUUGAAAUGACGGAAAACAACUCCAAUUAAUUCCCUUUUAUUCUAAAACAUCAAAUACAUCGCCAAAACUCUUAGAAAAACCUUCCUCAAACCAAAAUGCAUGCCCAACAUGCCAUGCUAAUUUCUUAAACUCGGCCACUGCCCAAAACCUCAUUCUCGGCCAUAACUCAGCUUCUUUAGAGCUUUAGAACUUAAAAUCCAGAACUCAAAUAAACAUAUAUCCUUCUACAAAGUUGUUGAAAAACGUCUUGUUAUUCAUACCUAAAAUUUUCAACUUCAGAUUCCAACGGAUGUACUCUACAGCCCUCUGGAAGUCCACAUUGUUCAGAACCACCAGUAUUCUGACCUUUCUUGCUUUCUACCGCCAAAACGCAACUCUCCGUUACUCAAAUUAAAUCAAAAACCCCAACUUAUAAAAUAGACUCAAAAUGAAAACUUUUAAGACUAAUUUCACUCAAAACACUCGAGUGGAUUGUGAGAAACUUAAUACUAAAUUUGGCCUAUUUAUAGAGUUCAUUGCAUGAGUACAAGUUGACACCUCAUCCUUGCUUAAAUUCACCUUAAACCUUCUUAGGGAACCUCCUACUUACUUUACACCUUAAAAUGCAUGCUAACAAGGUUUUACACCUCACUAAAACCUUAAACCGCUUGCCCUUAUCAUGCCACAUAGUUGUCCAAAACGCAUAGCUAACUUCCAAGGUCAUCUCACCUAGUUUCUCGCCCAAACUACAUAACCCAACUUAGAAAAGUUAUAACUUAAAAUCCAUAACUCUUUUGACAAAACUUUCUUCUACAAAGUUUCUCUAAAUGUGUUUUCUUCCCUAAAAAAUUUUUCCUGAAAUUUUGAGGGAAGAAAACGCCAAACGAUGCGUUCUGUAGCGUUCUAAGAGUGUAGCUUGCUCAGAUUCACUCGCAAACUGACCCUCUUGCCUUCUUUUGUCCAAACGUCAACUUUCUCAUAUCCAAAACGCCCAGCAACCUUCUUCAAUAAACUAGACUCAAAUUAUGAAUUUUCAAGUCUAGAUUGAGUGUAAUUUUCCGAGUUGUGAGAAACUCCUUUCUGAAGUUAGCUAAAACACCUAACCUCUUUAAUCCUUCUUUCUUGCCAACCUUAAACACUCAAAACCCUUUCUAACCUCUAAAACCAUUUUGCCAAGUCAACCCAAUACGCCUAAAAAGUACUAUUCUUUGAUAUUGAACCAAAAACUUUCCUUCUUUCAAACCUCUUAAACUCUUUGAAAAAGACUACACUACCCAAAGUUUGGGUCUUACAUAAAGAAAGAAGAAGAUAGACUCAAGAUAUAAAAAUAAGGAAGUUAAUCAUCUCGAAAGAAAAGAUAUAAGGAGAAUUUCAUUUUGAUGCCUCUUGAUCUUUAACUCAUCUUCGCUAUUCCUUUCUACCUCUUUCCCCUUUAUGUGGAAAGACCUGGUUGGAUAGCCAUAGGUCCAAGGUUUCUAGUCUUUUUACUAGUUUGGAAAAGCCAACUAAUUCAGUUUAGUAGAGGUGUAAAACGGAGAUUGCUUGAGUUCGACGAAUGAAAGAGAGCUCGUACCCGCAGCUUUUCCUUGAUUCUGCACUCUUGUGGGUAAUAGGCUUUCCUUCCUUGUCGUAGGUUCCUUUUGUUGGGACUUUUUCCUUCCCUCCUUCUUACUUGUUCAUCAUACCAUAGUAAUAAGAAUUUCUUAGAAAUAAGCUACUUUCUCUCCUUCAACUACUGAUCAAUUAGAACCUCGCGUCUGCACGCACCUUGUUUUUAGGACUUUAGGAAAUGGAAGAAUGUCAAAUCGAAUAAUUUGACUUUAUGUACACUAAGACAAGUGAAUGGGUGUCUGUCUUUUAGCUUUUCUUGAUAUACAUGAAUAUAGGACAACCAUAGAGUAUAUGAGAUUAGGGGAAGAUUCUUGAGACCUCAACCUUUGCCGCGACUGUCAAUAUUCUUUGAACCUCUUUUCCUUGCCUUUGUCUCGUUAGUUUGGGAAUCAGGAAGAAGCUAAGCAAGGCAUGAAGAAAUUAUUAACCAUUCUAGACGUCAUUCAGGUUGGAUGCCAAAUACGAGAAAACCUUUCUGAAGAGUAUGAAUGUGAAAUUCUCAUAAGCAAUGAGAUAGCCACUAGCUUAACCACCAUGAGCCACACCCCAUGGGCGAUCGUACCCCUUCAGUUCUUUUUCAACCUCAAAAAAUUGAGUGAAGCAUCAAAAUGAAAUUCUUUCACUUCGUUUUCAUCUAUUUUCUAGAGAGCUUUACAAAUAAGGUCUUCAACGCAGAACCUAAUUACAAACUGGUACAAUUGUCUUUCUGUAAGAAGGUAUCAUGUCCAUUUAUCACAAGAGAUCGACUUAGAAGUUCAAAUGCACUUAAAUAAUGAGAAGGAUCAUUAUGGGUAGUGCCAAGAGGCACAAUUCAAUAUGCGUGAGAAGCGCAUUUAAGAAAAAAGGUUUGAGGAGGAGGGGAGAUCCAGAUACUCGUUGGAGACUCCAACCAGCACGAUUAGUUGUCUUCCUGCUCUCAAAAGUCUACCUGGAAAUAAAAGGAAGUUUCAGAAACUUUAGGAUGAAAGGCAUAGGAAGGCGUAGGAGCGAGGGAGUCAAAACCUUGCAUUUCUGAAUUUGAGCUAAUACCUACGGUAUUUCGACCAUUAUUUCUCCUUUUAAGCCACUUAUCUAAUAACCUCAUGAAUGAAAGAGUGAUCCAUCCUUAGCAAGAAGAGCUGAAACUGGGAAUGAAUAAAAGGAAAUAAGAAGGAAUGAGGCUUCCUGCUCCAAAAGAAGACGGUAAAGCUUUUGGUCUCGCCUUUUCUCCUCUGCCUUUCUUUUGCACUCCUUUCAAAGUCACUGAUUAUUAUACAUAAUCAAUUCUAUUUCCCUUUCAUGGGAUAGAUGAUGGAAUUUCCGCAAAUUCGAUUAGGAUGAAGAAGCCCACGUAGCAGUUGUGAGUUUUUCACGGACUGACUCGUACAUUAUCGUUCUCAGCACCUCAAUAGAGGGUUCCACUUCUUAUGGAAAAAGUUCAAAAAAAAAAUCAGAACUAUGUUGUAUUUACAAAAUAUACAAGUUAUUUGGUUAUACAUUACAAUUUCUUUAAUUAUUUUUUGGAUUCAAUAUUUUUGGAGUUUGAUUCAGUAAAAAGUUGGACAGUGUAUAAAAUUUCGUAAAAGAAACUUUUUUUUAUAUUUAUUAUUAUUAUUAUUAAUAUUUUAAAGAAACUAAAUACACUAUAAGAAAUAAUAUUUAUACAAACUCAGAACCACAUAUAUGCAUAAUGCAUAUUACAACUCAGAGCAAUUUUAUUAGUCAUAAAAAAAAAAAAAAAAACAAUGAAGGCAUUCUUGUUGUAAUAUAUAAUACAAUAAUACUCAUACUCAAAAGUCAAAACAUUCAUGUGCUUGACUUCACAAUUGACAAUUGCCUUCCUAUUAUUUUCCUACAUGCCUUAAGGUCUUUCUCUAAAAUUACAAACUACUGACAUAUUACACCAGAAUAACUUAAGCCAACAAUGAAGUUAGAUUAAUAGAUAUUGUAAUGGAAGUCACUAAGUAGUAAUAACAUGUUACAACACAAAGGUAAAGCCAAAGAUUAAUGUUAGUGUUAUAGGAAAAUUCAGUUAGCUCAACCUCUAUAUGGAAAAGCCUAAGAAAGCUUAAAAAGCUUAAAGGUCGAGCUAUAGUCAGAGAACUCAGAAAGCUACAGAGGAUAGCAGAAGAAGAUGGACCACUGCACAACUAAAAAAUUUGGGAAGAAUUUUGUAAUAGCCUGUAUUUUUUAAUAUACCUAUAUAACAAAACAUGGAAAACUUAAGAAAUUAUAUGAACUUUUACAACUUACACAAUUCAACGGAAGCAAUUUAUUACAAACAAUUGUUAUGUCAAACUAUUCACUACCCUUUAUUGAACCUUCUACCUCAAAAGGGAGAAUACAAGUCAAUUAACGCUAACCUAAACACAAUUUAACUAACAAAAUUUCUCUGAUGCUCUACCAAGAUGUCACCAAGCUCUUAAGAAAAAACAAUUCAACUGCCAGAGUCAUGUCUGAUCAUGAAGGCUUUAAUACUGUUUUCACUCAUGAAAUGCACUGUUAUGAGACAGCAUAGUAUUCCUCAAGACCGAUGAAUGAAAAAGGACAACAAAAUCUUUCAUUUAAACUUCUUUAUUGGCCAAUGCAAUAUUGCUACUUUUACCUCUGGAAGAAGCUAAUAUGACAUCUGGUCUAGGUUUCCUUAUAACUUUGUUCAUAAGGUGAAGGUACCGAUGCCUCAUCCCCAAAAAAAUCCUUCUUAUAAGCCUCCCGAAGAACUACAGUUUGUGUUCUAAUCUUGUUUGAGACAUAAAAUAUACCUGGGUGAUGAACUAUGGCUUUCUUAAACCUAUAACCAAACCCCAAAUAGUCUCCCAAGCAGAAGAUGUUCUCCUUUUCGGUUUUCUUCGAGAUCGUAAGAUAAAGCAACUCAUGGAGAACAGCCACAACCCAUUUCUCAGCUUGGUCCGUAUUUGGUGCUAGAUGGAAUGCAUUUUCAUAGGGCGAAAUGUAAGGCAAAUCCUGCCACUCCUCCACCCAAUUCAUCACUUUCUUUUGCAAAUCAAAACCCCUCGGGAAACUCAUUGGAAAUGGAAUAUGAUUUAUUUUCCUUCUCCCAAAAUUUCCUUCCAGAGAUUCCCUUUUCUUCAAUUCAGAGACUGCAAGGUCUUUCCUCCAAGAAAGUAGCUCUAAUGCAAGAGGUUGUUCACCUGUUAAACAGUCUUUCACACUACAAACUUGAAAAUAUUCAGGAUAACCAGCAAGAAGGAUUGGAAUGAACCUAUAGGGUAAACCCAAAUCCCAUUGCAACCUCUCAAUAACAUAUAGGGGAAAUUUUCCAACCCCUAUGAGCAUCAAUAGUUUUGCUAACCUCUUCACAACAUCAUCUCUAUGCAAUCGAGAGUUAUGAAUGGUUGAUUCUUCCUUGUGGAGAAGUAAAGCUUGUGAGGUGAUUUUGACAUGAGGAUGGAGACCAAGACUAGGCUGGAAUUGGAUGAAAACAUAAGGGUAUAACUCGAAGAACUUGGAGAUGGUGGUAGUGGGAACUUUAAGGUUCUGAUUAAGCAAAAAGACAAGAAGAAAGUGGAACAGAUGUUAAAGGACUCGAAAUUAUUAUAUUCUUAAGGGAAAUUACUUGUUUGAGGUUUUUCUCUCUUUGAACUGCAAAAUCAAGGUAUGGAUCUCUAACCCAUUUGACCUUUGCAUCAAUGAAAGCACAAAUCUGGGUGAAACGAUGAGGGAUUAUAGUAAUUUGUAGAAUCAUAAGCAAGAAAGGUUAGAAAACAUUGUCUAGAUUGGGAAAUAGAAAUGGCUGACAAUGGGAAUCGAGAAGGCUAAACUCACCAAAUUAGACAAGAGUUUGUAAAGAUCAAAUAAUCAAAGGAAACGAAAAUUCAACUUAGACUCUGCUUGGUGGCUGCUUCAGAAUAGAGUCACCCUAACUACCCUUUAAAACUAUCACCUGAUUUUCCAUCUGAAAACACUUUGAAAUCAAAGAUUAGUACAAAAAUACUCAAUAAGAAAUUCUCAUAUCAAGCUUUGAAAUUCACAGAACUUUCUGUCAAAAUUUUUCUAGAAAGAAAACUUUCAAAAUCAAAAUAUUGCAAGCAAAUAAGUUUUAAAACCUAAAUGCUUCAAGCUGAAACUCCUAUAAUGAAUGGUAUUUUCAUACUUUUUAUAACACUAAUAUUUCAAUACUUUCAAAUGAAAAUUCUUCAAUCGGUAAAAAGAACUUUCGAUCAACAAAUACAUCCAUACAAACAAAACUUUCAAUCAUUCAGUUCAAAUACAAAGUAGGAAAAAUGCAUAGCUCAUGUAGCCCAGCAGGUAUGGCUACCCCUUGGUAAGAUCAACAGUUCAUUCAAUCCGAGAUGUCAAUUAACAAUCGACCACAUAUGAAUCGCCAUUUAAAGCAUGCAAACAAUUUUGAAACUAAUUACCUCGAUCGACAAUCAUCCUUGAAAAUUCACUUCCUUGGACAAAGAUUAACAACUAUUGAACUUCCACGAGUGACACUUAUCCCUAAGCCAAAAAUGCCGCCGCAGUCGGAAACACACACCCAGUCAUUGAAAACGUGAUCUAGAACUUGUUGUUCGUUCAUGCUGGAGUCUCAAACGAAGAAGAAACAAUGCUCCUGAAGCCGUACAGAGUGAAUGUAGACCGUCGUCGACUACAGAGCUGGGCGUUCGGUGGGUGUGGCCGCUGGAGUGUCGCCGGAGAAGAGGGUCGGCGGCUAUUUGAUAGAGAAAGGAAGACGACUGAUGAGGCUAGUGUCACGUGGUUAAAGUCUGAAGCUAACCAUACGUGCGGCACUUGGCUAACUACAAUGCCCACGUAGCCAAGUAAGCCUUUUGAGGAAGGGGUAGUGCGCCAAGCACUACACCAAUGUGUUGCAGCGAAAUUAAUUGGGUUGGUUCCAAGACACGAGAGAGGUUGGAAGGAUAAGGGAGUUUGGAUGGAUACGUCUUGGGAAUGAUAUACUGCAUUCCAAGAAUAGAUUAAUACACAUUUGGUACAAAUAUGUUGUCUCUUGCCAUGGGGCCAUGGGCAAGGAGACUUGGUAUGGCAAGGUGACCUUGCUUGGCUAACACAUGCAAAGUUGCAAGGUUGCAAGGCUUGGUACAAAUGAGGCCCUCCCUAAGUAUUUAUAGACCUUCCCCACCGACCUUGGGCCUUAGAAGGUCGGCCAAGGGAGUUUCUAGAUGAUACAAGAUCAUUUAGUACAUUACAAGGAAGCUAGAACAUUCUAGAGAGGAUUAGACCUUUUAUGACACUUCUUAACCGUCAUAAUAGCCUUCUAAAGUGUUCCAGCACGUUUCAGAAUCAUCCAGCACAUUCGGAGGCCUUCUCGGGAGCUUCUCGCGCAUUCCAGCACUGUCUAGGGCGUUCUAGAGGCUUCUGAGGCUGUCUAGGUCGAGCAUGGGCGAGGCAGCACGCACAUGGGCGUGUCUAGGUCCUUCUUGAAGCUUCUGGGAGGUUCUCGGAGCAUCUGGAACUGGGGCAGACACUAGGCUGCGCGCAAUGUUAGCAUCGGCGAGCGUGCGCGGACGUCGUGCGCGCCAUACGUGGGCGAGCAUGGGCGGCCGACUGGAGCCCCGCGCGCAGUUGCUUUGCUUGCCACCUGGCCAUACGCAUGGGCCCGUGCGCAUGGGCCUGAUGGUGGGUGCUGGUGUCGGGUGUCACGGACAUAUUUUUCCAAAGUGUACACCUUUGGUUAUAUGCUCCGAUUAUCCCCAGUUUAUCUCAUCUUUAGUUUCCAUGACUAGUUUAGGUGUUUGCUUUUCAUUCUAGAUCAUAAAUCUUGGGUGUGACGUUUCGGCAUUUUCAUAUGCAAGCCUGCCAAAGCUGAAAAUGUUCAAAAUGUAUUAUAGGGGAGACAUACCAGUUGAAUCCUCGCUCGAGCAUUAGUUGUACUCUUUGGAAGCAACCAUUUUUCCUUGCAAUUGACGGUCUUUAAUGCUUAUCGUAACGUCUAUUUCAAUUUAUUUCUUUCUUUCCCGCGUUUUAUAAAUAAAAUUUCCCUAAAACGCAAAGGAAGGUUACGACAUACGUCGACGUUACCUACAACUCUUGGAUUUUUAUCGACUGGCUUGUUCGUUGAGUUAGAACAAGUGUCGCACAAUCGUCCUUCUCGAGGUUGAAACGCUACGAUUGUGACAAGUGGUAUCAGAGCCAAAUUGGCUGACAGUUUAGACAGAGAGAUGUUGACGGUAAAACGAACGGGCAAGACCCAUGAAGAACGGUUGGUGGUGAUCGAAGCGCAAAUGCUCCACCUGAAGGAAGUUUCUGAUUCCAUCCGAUUUAUGGAAGAACGACUUGAGAAAGUUGCCAAGAGAGUCGAUGUUGUUGAUGCGGUGUCUGGUCGCCUGGACGGAUUACCCAUACAUGAUUUGUUGGCUAGAGUUGACACGUUAGAGUCACAAAUCAGGAAAAUUGAAAAUGUUCCCUACGAGCGUGGGAACAGUUCAUCAGGCUCUGUUGCCCGAAUGGAGGAGCGAGUUACAGAGCUAGAUAACUCUCAGAAGGAUAUAAUGAAGAUGAUAAAUGGUAUGACAGAGGACUUUCGAGCCACCCUGGAUGUCGUUAGAAAUGAAAUCGUAGAGGUGAACACGAAGGUGAACCUUACAAUGCGAGCGUUGGCCAAUCAAGCUCCGGCUGGAGGAGCGAUUACAAUUGGCAAGAUAAAGAUCCCAGAACCCAAGCCCUUCUGUGGGCCAAGGGAUGCAAAGGCAUUGGAAACUUUAUCUUCGAUAUUAAGCGGUAUUUUAAAGCCACAAACACCGUGGCGGAGGAAGCCAAAGUGACAUUGGCGACCAUGCAUCUAUCUGAGGAUGCAAAGUUAUGGUGGAGGUCCCGAUAUAUUGACAUUCAAGAAGGGCGUUGCGUAAUAGACACUUGGGACAGUUUGAAGAGAGAACUUCGCUCACAGUUUUUCCCCGAGAAUGUCGACAUUCUGGCUCGAUGGAAACUAUGGGAAUUAAAGCACACUGGAACCAUUCGGGAAUAUGUGAAGCAAUUUGCGGGCUGAUGUUAGACAUAUCUGAUAUGACCGAGAAGGACAAAAUCUUCAGUUUUGUUGAAGGUUAAAACCAUGGGCAAGGACUGAGUUAUACGAACAGAGAGUUCAAGACCUUGUGUCAGCCUAUGCAACAGCUGAGCGUUUGUUUGAUCUGUCUAGUGACGCUCAAGAGACGAGACGUCAAUAAAGCUCUUCACCUGGGAGAGAUCAAAACAGCCGACCAAAUUCUUCCGAAGCUGUCAGUGGAAGUAGAAGUCCCGGUAGAGACCGCAAGCCUUUUCAGUCAAAUAUGGGGAACGUGGGGCAAAGGCCCAAUAGUCAGAGGACAUCUCACACUCCUAUCAGUUGCUACAUUUGUAACGGACUACAUCGGGCAAGGGAAUGCCUAGAUAAAGCUGUCUUCUAUGCCUUUCGGGCCUCUUUAGCUGCUGACUCAGAUGACACGUCGAGUCAACCAGAGAAGGAAGUUGGGCAAGUAGAAGGAGUUCAGAAUGUUAGAGUGGGAGCCAUAAGACUCUUGUCGUCCCUUCAGAAGAAACCGAGAGAGACAAGUGGUCGUACUAAAAGGGGCCUAAUAUAUGUUGACACCUGGAUCAACCGAAAGCAUGCAAAGGCACUAUGGUUGACUCCAGUGCCACUCAUAAUUUUAUAACAGUGGUCGAAGCCAGACGACUAAACCUUCAUUGGAAGAAGGGUACGGGAAAAAUGAAGGUCGUAAAUUCUAGAGCUCUACCUGUCGUUGGGAUAGUGAAACAGACAGCGAUACAGUUGGAAGGAUUGAGCGGUUUCGUUGAUUUUGUGGUUGUAGGCAUGGAUGACUUUGACGUAGUCUUCGAAAUGGAAUUCCUUCUCGAACAUCAAGUGAUCAUAAUGCCUGCAGUCAAAUGUCUGAUGAUCACGAGGUCUACCCCCACCGUUGUGCAGACAGACCUUCGGCAACCCAAAGGACUGAGAAUGAUCUCGGCCAUGCAACUGAGAGAGGGUCGUGUUCAGAAAGACACAAGGUGUGUCAUGAAGAGAUGUGGUGAUGGGAAACGUGAUAGUUUGCCCAUAUUGGAAUCGCCUACGAAGAGUGAUUGUCGUAUGGCGCAGUCAGAGUCGUCUAAACUCCGAAGACAGUCAAGGAGAUUGUCGGGUGCAGGAUUCACUAAACCUGCAAAAGCUCCGUAUCAAGCACAAGACUGCUUAUGGAAGGAAGAGAAGGGACGGUUGAGUGUCGACAGUCGUGUCCUGAAGCAAGCCCCGAGGAGAGGGACAAUUCUUGGGUCCGUGAGUGUGACCCAACCUAUUAAAGCUUACGUUCAGGUGCGUAGUCAUGCGUUGAGUGGUGCCUAACUGUAGAAUAGACACCCUAUCGCAUUUGAGGGUCAGAAGAAGAGUGCCACAUAGGGCAAUUAUACGAUGUUUGAAGAAGAAACGUUGGCCAUAGCAACCAGUCUAAAGGAUGGGAGACAAUGUUCCCAUAGAUCAACUUUUGUUAGAGAGAUGAACAACGACGUUGCCAGCCAGUUCGGUACUCGGCCGAAUAUGAGUUUGAAUCAAGUAAGGAGAUGAAGAGUCGUGCUCAAACUUGAUUUUGGGUCAGAACGUAAGAGAAGCAAUCAUGGGACUCCACAUGUGUCGGCUCGUACACAGGCCUGUCUGUUGGAAUUUUUUGUCCUAAAACUCGUAGUUUGUAAAUCAUAUUCUGUUCAAUAAAGUUGUUUAUUGAGAAAUUAAAUAUUAUAAUCUUAAAUCCAAUAAAUCAAGUUCCAAGGCUAUUUUUGAAUAAACUUGAACUUUAUGUGUAAACAUAAACGUGGAUCAAGUUCGAGUAUAUAGCCUAAAUAGUCUAUAGUAUAUGAAAUAAAGGUUGGGCGCCUUAUUUAGAGAAACUAUGGAUGCGGCCCACUUUGUAGUACAAACGAGGUGAUCCUAAUCGUUCAUGUAGAGACAUGAAAGUGGGGGCAUCCUAUGUAAAAUGUUUACAUAAGACUGAACCAUGAAUUAGUCUUUUUUACGUUAUAACACCGUUUACUGUUUAAAACUGACUAUCUCAAUUAUUGAUGACCUAGGUAACUUAGUCUUAAUCCUAAGUUAACUAUGAACUCCUGUUCACACGAGAUUAUCCUUAGAUCUGCAUAGGUGAGGGCAGCUCAUCAGCGUUGGCCCAAUAAGCCUCCCAUUUCAGGGGUAAGAUCGGGUAGAUAGCUGGGAACAUAGGGUACAAGAUGGAAUUCACUCCUACCCGCUUUAGGGUUAGUAGAUAGGUUGUUCUCUUAAGCACUGAAUCCAAGUCUUGAACAAGGGGCCCCACCCUCUCAUUGGCCCGAGAGGGAUUAAGUUUAUAGGUUGAACCUUAAAUCAAUUGUUCAAUAGUGGAUUAGUGGGACUUAAGGAGCAAGAUGUAAUCUUGGGGGUAAAACGGUAUUUUGACCCAGCCAAGGUUACGAGCAACCUGUGAAUGAUUAAGUGUUUUUGUUCUAAUUAUUGUAAUUAGCCUUGUUAAUGGCUUAUUUUUAUUGUUGCAAAGUGUUUUUAAUUUUUAAAAAAAUAAAAAAAGUCAUUAGAGUUGAAGUUAGGCUGUAACUGGUUCAACCGGGUGAGAGAAUUGAAAAAAAAUGAAGAAAAGAAGGUCACAGACCCGAAAACCCGCCUUGACCCGCAGGCGCCCGCGCGCCCGCAUGCCUUCGCGCCCUCCUGCGUCCGCACGCGCCGCGCGCCCUCCUGCGUCCCCGCGCUUGCCUUCGCCCGACCCGUGUGCGUCUGGGCUGGUUCAAGCGGUUUCGGUUGGUUUUUCAGCCGGUUCGAAGUUUUUGGGAGUGGUUCUGUACUACACCAAAGUAAUUAUGUAAUAAUUUAGUACUUAGCUUAAUUUAGGAGCCAAAAAUCAGUCCAUUUUAGGGUGUUUUUUUUUAUUUAUGCAUGUGAUGUAUGAUUAAAUUACUUUAAAUUUGUAUGUGCAUUUUGAAUGUCAUAUAGAUUUAAAAUCCACCAUAGGUUAACAUGUUCAUGCAUUAAAAUGUAUGAUAUAAAGGUUAUAUUGUAUUGUAUGCAUGUUAAUUGAUUAAUAUGGAAAUUAAAAUCCCACCAUAGGUGUUUGCUUUCAUUCUAGGUCAUAAAGCUUGGGUGUGACGUUUCGGCAUUUUCAUAUGCAAGCCUGCCAGAGCUGAAAAUGUUCAAAAUGUAUUAUAGGGGAGGCAUACCAGUUGAAUCCCCGCUCGAGCAUUAGUUGUACUCUUUGCAAGCAACCCUUUUCGUGGCGCGUGCGGGGCCUGUGAGCUGUCCUCGAGAGGUGCCUGCCAAUGUCGUGGGCAUAUGUCCUGGUCACCCUUGGGCUGUCUCGGGACCACGUUGGGCUACUCCUGGGCCAUGCUAAAGGAGUCGUGGCACGUAUUGGCGCAAUUUUGCGGGUGAUUUUUGGGGUCAAAGCUUCACAUGUGACAUCAGGCUUACUUCUUUUCAUUUCUUUCUUUUUUCUUCUUCUUUCUUUUUCCCGUUUUAAAUUUUAUCUCUAAACCAAACUCAACUAACUCAAAUUUAUGUUUAGGAACUUGUAAUUUUGGAGUACAAUAUAAGUAUAAUUGUUUGUGUUAUAUUGUUUUUUUUAUUAUUAUUACUAUUAAAAAUAGCCAAAUUAAUUAAAAUAUUUAUAAGGUAUUUUAAAAUUUGAUAUUCGAUAGAUCGAUCAAUGUCACUAAACAUAUAAGGGCUUAUCAAUAUCUAUUAUUAAUAUAAUCUAGUAAAUAUUUUGUCGAAUUUAUUAUUUGUGACAGUUUUUUUCUAUUCUUUUUUACAUAUAUUCAAUAUAUAAAAUAUCAAUUUUUUGAAAAUUUCAUAUAGGAUUAUUAACAAGUUUAACAAAUAGAUAAAAUGAUUUUCAACAUUAUUCUAAUACUAUGCUUUAAAUUAUGUAAGAGAUAAAUCUCUAUAAAUCAUGGAUGAAUUAUUUUAGAAUGGAAAACAAUACAAAAAUGUGAGUGUUGAGCAAGAAAUUUUGACCAAUUAAAUUACGUCACAUCAUCACAGUAAAUAAUGAUGAUUAUACUUUUGUUUGAGUUUGGAUAAUUAAGUUACUCAACCCAACCCAAUUCAGAUCCAACAAAACAAAUGGGCUCAAGCCCAAGUCCAAGAAUCAAAUGGGCCCAAGUCCAAACUCAUCUCGCAAAUGGGCUCAAAUCCAAGCCCAACAAGCAAAUGGGCUCAAGUUCAAGCCCAGUAAGCAAAUGACCCCAAGUUCACCUAAAGCCCAUGAAAUGUCUAUAAAUAGAGACCACUGUCAUUCAUUUUAAAAGGGGUCUUUGGUUGAAAGAAGAAUUGAAGCUCUGAAGAAUUGAAGAUUCAAACUUCUACAAGCUCUCAAGACGUGCAAGUUCGUAUCAACUUCGAGAUCAACAACUUCUGAAAGAUUGAAGACUUGGAAGAUUAAACUUUUCUUGGAUUCCAGAAGAUCGAAGUUCAAAUCAACGUGCAACUACAACAUCCUGAAGAUCGAAGAUCAAAAAGUUCUAAGUUUUAACUUGUAUUCGAGAAAAAACAUCAAAAGAGUAAAUACUAGAGGUUGUAUUCACAAUAUUCUUUAAUAUAUAAAGUUCAACUCCACGAAAUACAUUUCUUCAAAAUCUCGUGUGAACAGUUUGACACGUCCAGUGAGACAAUCUCUACCUUUCAUCUCUUUCUCUUUUGAAGAACAUCUAAAGAAAUCAUGUCGAUUGACGAACAAAUGACAUCGGCAAGCAGCCAAAUACUCACAACCGCUCAAGGGAGACUCAAUCAUCUGCGGAAAUGCCAUCCUUUGAGGCCGCAAAGAACAUUUGGGAGCAACUGUCCAAGCCACCAAAAGGUGGAAUUAUAGUCAAAGAAAAUCCUGUGAUUGACGAACAAAUUUCCUCCUAUGAACGCUCGAAUGAGAAGAUGCCUCAUCCAAAUAUCAUGUCGAUUAUGGUGACUGACGUGGAUACAAGUGAAGACAGAAUGACUGAGCUUAAAAAGAAGAUCAACAUGCUCAUGAAGGUCGUUGAAGAAAAGGAUAAUGAGAUUGCAUCUCUCAAGAAUCACAUCGAACGUCAUGAUGCUGCUGAAUCAAGUCAUACACAUACUAUCAAAAAUACUGACAAAAGGAAGACAAUUAUGCAAGAAAGUCAACCACAAAAUUCAACCUCAAUUGCAUCAAUAUCUAUUCAGCAGUUGCAGGAGAUGAUUGCAAACUCCAUCAAAACUCAAUAUGAUGGACUUGCUCAAACUCUCUCUCUAUAUUCCAAACCAUAUACGAAGAGGAUCGACAAUCUCAUAAUGCCGAAUGGAUACCAACCACCCAAGUUCCAACAGUUUGAUGGAAAGGGUAACCCAAGACAACACGUUGCUCACUUCAUUGAAACAUGUGAAACUCCUAGUACGAGAGGAGAUUUGUUGAUAAAGCAGUUCGUUCGAACUCUGAAAGGAAACGCCUUCAAAUGGUACAUGACCUGGAACAUGAAUCCAUUGAUAGUUGGGAGUAACUUGAGGGGGACUUUCUCAAUCGCUUUUACAGCACCCAGCGUAUCGUCAGCAUGAUGGAGUUGACAAAUAGCAAAUAGCGAAAGAGGGAGCCAGUCAUCAACUACAUAAACCGAUGGAGAGCUCUAAGCCUGGAUUGCAAAGACAAGCUCAUAGAAAUGUCUGUAGUCGAGAUGUGCACCCAAGGCAUGCAUUGGGAACUUCUCUAUAUUUUGCAGGGGAAAAACCACGCACGUUUGAAGAGUUGGCGACUCGUGCCCAUGAUAUGGAACUAAGUAUCACUCGUAGAGGAGCAAAAGAUUUUUUGGUUCAAAAAAUGAGGAGUGACAAGAAUUAAAUUGAUGACACUAAAAAGAUUACAGAUAGUGUCAUAAAUGAGUCUAUGGUUGUUCAUGCAACCCCUUUGAAAUCUUUCUCUAAAAGAAAAGAAACAAAAUUUGAAGGAAAGCAUGAUAGAGAGGAAAAGCGACGCCCUUAAAGAAAGACAAGAAAAAUUUUAUCCAUUUCCUGACUCUGAUGUUGCAGACAUGUUAGAGCAGCUGUUAGAGAAGCAACUUAUUCAACUGCCAGAAUGCAAACGACCGAAACAAGCAGAGAAAGUAGAUGAUCCUAACUACUGCAAGUACCAUCGGGUCAUUAGUCAUCCUGUUGGAAAGUGUUUCGUGUUGAAGGAGCUGAUUAUAAAGUUGGCUCGUGAAAAGAAGAUCGAGUUAGAUAUGGAUGAAGUAGCUCAGACAAAUCAUGUUGCAAUUGAGAUGACUUCAAGUGUUCCGCCAUCAACACACCUUUAUGAUUAAUGGAAAAACUUGGUCCAGUUUGGGACUUUUGAACCUGUACAUGUUCGAUUCCAACAAAGGAUCGUGACAAAGAAAUCUCAAAACAAAGAAAAGCCUAUUGAAGAUGAUUGCGAAGGAUGGAUAGUCAUGACUCGUAAAAAGGGGAGACAAUCAAUUUUCGUACAAACGAAGUCGCACUUCCAUCAGAAGCAUGGAAAAGGAAGCAACUCUCGUAAAAAUGAGAAAACAAAUAAGAUGUGGAAGUCUAAGCCUAUCAAAGGAAAAGACGAGGACUUCAUCCGACAUCGACGGUCGAUAACUUUGAAAGAAUUUCUCCCAAGAAGCUUCCUUGAUGAUCAUCCAAAGAAAGUAUUAGAAGUCCUUGCAUGUCAUGUUGUCAGUAUAACAGAAGUCGACACCAAUUGUGCAUCUUCUGAAGAAAUCGACAAUUCAAAUGAAAUUAAGCAAAUGACAUUUGUCUUUGAUCGUAUCAAGCCUUCAAUUACUCAAUCUUCAAUUUUUCAAAGAUUGAGUAUGACCAUGAAAGAAGAAGAAAACCAAUGUUUAACAUCUACUUCCACUCAAACUUUAGCUUUCAAAAGGCUAAGUAUCUCCACAUCAAAGAAAUAUCAACCUUCAACAUCUGUUUUUGAUAGACUAAAAUGACAAGUGAUCAACAUGAAAAAGAGAUGAAAACUUUGAAGGUAAAAUCACUUCAUGAAGAAAAUAAUGGCGAGAAGAUACGCAGUUGUGUCUCAUCACGCAUGAAGAGGAAGUUAUUUGUUGACAUAAACACAGAAGGUCCCUUGAUCGUGAAGCCAAAAAUUAUUAUAUUCACCAAUUCUACAAAUGAAGAAGGUGAACAAAUUUUUUACGAAAAUAUUUGUUAAAUCACUACUACAAAAAUUGAAUUACUUGACAUUAAUACAGUGUCAUGUAAAUCUAUACUUGACGUUUUAAAAAGCGUCAAGUAAUCGACUGUCAAGUAUAGUUCUAUUGCUUGACACUAAAAAAACGUCAAGUACUCUAUUGCUUGACAUCAUUUUUGUAUCAAGUAAGAUAGUAUACUUGACAAUAUUUACACGUCGAGUAAAUUAUAUACUUGACUCUAUUUACCUGUCAAGUGAGAUAGUAUACUUGACACUAUUUACAAGUCGAUUAAGAUAUAUAUUUGACUCUAUUUACCUGUCAAGUGAGAUAGUAUAUUUGACAUUAUGUAUAUGUCAAGUAAAAUUUUAUAGUUGACACUAUAUAUCCAUCAAGUAAAAUGGUAUAUUUGACUCAAAUAAGAUAGUAUAUGUGACAUGUAUUUAAUGUCAUGUAUACCAUUUAUUAUAUUAAAUAUACUAAAUUUUUCUUUUUUCAUUUUUUAUUUCCUGCAUUACAUACAUUUGCUUCAAUAAGACAUAUCCAUAAACAAAACAAAUUCUCCAACGAACAAUUACACAACAAAAAAAAAGGACAAAAAGUUUAGUAUAAUAUGUAAACCAACAAUAAUUUCAUUAUUCUCAACAAUGUCAUCAACAAUUACACAAUUCCAAUCCAAUAUAGCCAACUAAAAUUUCCUAUAUGUGUCAUAUUCCAAAAUAUUAAAUGAUAAUAGUUGUCUUAUAUAAUCAAAAUUGAAGCCUAUCCCCGUAUAUCUUUUGCCUCAUAAUGGCUAUGAACAAAACGUUUCCACAAAAAAGGUUAUGAGCAUUCUCAUAUCUUAGCCAUUUACAAAAUUAACAUGAUCAUAUCUAGGUGUGUCUAUCAUAUGUACCGAGCUAAAAAUCCAGUCCACUCCCCUCGUCUAUCCAAUUCAAGCUAUGUGUAUGGGCUUCUUGUAUCAAUCUAUAAAACAUAAAAAGUAGAAUAAUACACUUUGUAAAAUAUUUGAGUUAGUCAUAAUAUACUAUCUAUAACUUUACAAUGUAAAUAGUUUAAAAACAUACCGCACCAGUGAUAAUGUUUGUGUCCUUAGUCACAAUUUCUUGCAUGUAUCUCAUGACAUAAUAUCCACAUUCAAUUGUACCUACUUGUAAAGAACACUAUAACACAACCAAUUAACAAUGCAUAUAUAUUAUAUUAUGUGCUAGAUUAAAAUAAAAAUUAUUUUAUAAAUAUAUUACCUUUACCAAUAUAUGCAUGAUUGGCUACCAUAGCAGGAUAGCCACACAUAAUACAACUUAAAAUAUACAAUAACUGUGUAAUAUAUACAUGAUUGGCUACCAAUGCUACGGGGCUACCAAGGCUAUAGGAUAGCCACAAGACCAAGGCUAUGGGGCUACCAAGACUACAUAAUAACCACAAGAUAGUAUGAUUCAAAAUAUACAAUAAGUGUAGUAUUUGCAUGAUUUCCAAAUGAGAAGGAUGAUUACAUACCUCAAUCAUAUUGUAUAUUUUUUCUUUCAACUCAGUCGGCACCAGCUUCCAAGAUGCAUGUGUAAUUGGGAUAUGAUGAUGCACACAAGAUCCAAUUUGAGGGUCUAAUUUAAUUUAUGAAUCCUAAUUCAAGACAAUAAUCAUUAAAAACCCACUAAUUUACAUAUUAAGAAAUAUUUGAAUUGCCUUUGAAUUGCCUCAUACACCCAUUCUUUUUAGUGUAUAAUUAAAUUUGACGGUCUAAUAGAUAAGUUGAAUCACUUAAAUAUUAAUUUUGAAAGUUCAAGGAAGUAAAUUUAACAUUAUCAUUAUACUUUAGAGACAAUAUUUGUCAUUUGCCAUAAAAAAAAGUACAAAUUGUAAUUGAAUUGCAUUGGAUGGCAUUCAUCUAAAGUAUGAAUCUUACCAAUAAUAGUAAAUAUAUUAAUUCAUUACUCGUUACUAUAAAAAAAAUGGCAUUCAUCUAAAGUAUGAAUCUUACCAAUAAGAGUAAAUAUACCAAUUCAUUACUCAUUACUAUAAACAAAUCAAUAUGAUAAUUAUAACCAUAACGACAACAAAUUAAUUACGGUCUAAAACAUCCAAGAGUCACCCUUAAUUUCUCAUUACUCAUUUCUGUAAAAAAAAAAAACAACAAUAAAGAAAAAUGAUGGUCUUCUCUAUUUGUCAAUUAGAUUAUACCAUUUGUUUACGAAUUGAACAUAAACAACAUAAACAACAUAAACAUAUAACACAAAUAAAUAUAAAUAUACGAGAGUCAUUCUCAAUUUUCUUCUCUUUGUGUUUUUCUCACUUUGGGUUUACAAUAUCAUCCUUAAUUACAAGAUAUAAAUCAAAUUCAAGGGAGCAUUAUUCAUAGAAAAAUGUUAAAUACAAUAAGAAUGAGGAGCAUAAAAACCUUUGAACGCGGAAGUAGUUUGCCAUGCAGAAGAUGUUCGCAGUCAUGGAAGCCGUUCACUGUGGAAGUUGUUCGCUGCGUGGAAGCCGUUCGUCGGGUUGAAGCUGUUCGGAACGGGUUGAAGCUGUUCGCAACGGGUUGAAGCUAUUCGGGUGGAAGCUGUUCGUCGAGUGGAAGCGUUCGUCGUGUGGAAGCCAUUCGCCGUUUGCCGCUCUGUGUUGUGUGGAAGUCAUCCGUUGAUUCGAAGAAGUGGCUGUUCGCCUGUGUUGUGUGGAAGCGUGGAGAUGAGAAUAGGGUUUCAUCGUGGAGACGUGAGGGAUUACUAAAAAUAGGGAAAUAAAAGAUUUUAAUAUAUUUAUUUGAUAUUUUUAAUUAAAUGAAUUUAAUAAAUUUAAUUAAAAUAUUUUUAUUAAAAUAUUUCAAUAAAUAUAUUUGAUAAACUUUUCAAAAAAUUAUUUUUUUUCAUAUAUAAAUAUAAAAUAAAACAAGCUUGGGAAGCAAGAAUUUUUUCCAUAUAUAUUGUUUUAAGGUUAAAACUUGGAAAGCAAGAAAUUUUUCAUCUUUUCAUUGGAUACCUUUUUUAACAAUAUAUAAAAGGAAAGAAGUGUUAUUGAGGAAAUUGAAAAAAAAGCCCACUAAUCAUUUUCAAUAAUCGACAUGCAAAUUUCUAUAGAAAAAAAUGAAAGAGACAUUAAAAUUUAAAGAAAAUUACAUGAGUUUUUGUUAACUUUUGAGAAAGAUCCAUGGAUUGAUCGUGAAAAUAUAAAGAUUUGAGAUGAUGAAUAUUUUUUGAAUUAGGGAAUAAGGUUUUAUAGGAGAAAUUAGGAAUUGAUAAUAGAAAAUAAGUUGAAAGGGUGAAAAUUUGAAAACAAUGGAUUUGUACAGUAUCUUGUUUUCAAUUUGUUAUUAUUAUUAUUUUUCUUUAUUUCUUAGUUUUUGAUAAUAUUUUUUUUAAUUAUAUCAUUUUUUAAAAAAACAAAUAGAGUGGUUUGUGAGUUUUUGUUUCAAUUUAUUUGUUUUUAUUAAUUUAUUCUUAAUUUUCGCUAUCAUUAACCAAUUUUCUUAAAUUAUGUUUUAGGUUUCCAAGAUCUUCAAUCUUUCCAUAAAAAGAAACAAAAAAAGAAAAAAGAAACCCUAAAUUAUUUUGAUUUUAAUUUUUUUUUGGUAAAUAACUAAAUUGAAUUAUAUAUGCUCACUCUAAUAAAAUGAUUUUUUUAUUAAACAAAACUUCAUAAAAUCAAGUUGAUGUGCGAGAACUUAAUAUUAUAUCACUUACCAAUACAAUAUUUAGAUAUGCAUCUCUAGGAUAUCAUCUAUUUUUGUUUAUCAAAUUGUCUAAUCAUGUCACAAAAUUUGUAAUUUUUUUAUGUGAGUAGUGAUAAAUGAUGUGUAAAAGUAAAUAAUUAUGGAGAUAUACCAAUAAAUUGGAUCUAUUAUUAAUCUACACACUACAAAGUAAAAACUAAACAAUGGAAAAAGUUGAUCCAUUUAAAAUUUAUUAAAUGUUUCAAUAAAUUUCAUUAAUAAUCAUUUCAAUAAAAUAUUUUAAUGAAUUUCUUUGAUGAAAUAUUUAAAUAAUGUUAUUUAGUGAAACACUUCAACAAAUCUGUUUUGGUAAAAUAUUUCAAUAAAUUUAUUUUAACAAAAGAUUUCAAUAAAUUAUUUUAGUGAAAGAUUUCUAAAAUUUUCUUUAAUAAUCUUUUCAUUACAAUAUUUUAAUCAAUUUAUUUAGUAAUCUUUUCAUUAAAAUAUUUUAUAAAAUUUAUUUUUAAAAAUAUUAUCAAUAAAUUUAUUUAAAGGAAAAUUUUAAAUAAAUUUAUUUUAAUGAAAGAUUUCAAUAAAUUUAUUUAAUUAUUUUUUAAUAAUUUAUUUCAUAAUUUUUUUAAAUUUUUAUUUUAAUGUUUUCAUUAAAAUAUUUUAAUAUUUAUUAAAUAAGCAUUUCAUCAAAAUACAUUGAUAAAUUUAUUUAAUGAAAGAUUUCAUUAAAAUAUAUAAAUUUUGUAUAAAAUAUUUUAAUAAAUUUAUUUAAUGAAAUAUUUUCAAUAAAAUUAUUUAAAGGAAAGAUUCAAUAAACUUAUUUUAAUGAAUUCAAAAAAUUAUUUUAGUGAUAAAUUUCAAAAAUUUAUUUAACAAUUUUUUAUUAAAGUAUUUUAAUAAAUUUAAUUAAAAUUUUCAUUAAAAUGUUUUAAUAAAUUUAUUUAAAGAAAUGGUUUCAAUAAAUUUAUUUAAAUAAAAUAUUUUCAAUAGGUUUAUUUAAAAGAAAGAUUUUAAUAAAUUUAAUUUAAGUAAAGAUUUCAACAAAUUAGUGAAAGAUUUGUAAAAGUUUGUUUUAGUGAAAGAUUUCAAAAAAAUUAUUUAAUAAUAUUUUAUUAAAUUUAAUUUAUUUAUGAGUUUUUCAUUAAAAUAUUUUAAUAAAUCUAUUUAAGGAAAUAUUUUCAAUAAUUUUUUAAAGGAAAAUUUUCAACAAAUUUAUUUUAACGAGAGAUUUUAAUAAAUUUAAUUUAAUGAGAGAUUUAAACAUUAUUUAAGUGAAAAUUUUCAAAAGAUUUAUUUCAUAAGUUUGAUUUUAAAAAAUUAUUUUAAUAAGUUGAUUUUAAAAAAUUAUUUUAAUAAGUUGAUUUUAUACUUUUUAUUUUCAUAUUUUUAAACGUUUUAUAUUUGACAUUUUGGCAAUUGACAUUUUAAAAGUGUUAAAUAAAAAAUGUUAACUAUACUUGACGUUGUUUCGCGUCAAGUAAAUGUCCACUAUACGUGACAUGAAAAAAACGUCAAGUAAAAUCUCCACUAUAUUUGACGCGAAUAAACUGUCAAAUAAAUCUCCACUAUAUUUGACACGAAAACCAUGUCAUAUAAAAGUUAACAUAAAAAUUUUCUUUUUUAAAACCAUACCUGACAUGUUUUUUGUGUCAAGUAAAUGUUCACUACUUUUAACCCGAAUAAAAUGUCAAGUAAAAUCUACUUUAUACUUGACGCAAAAAAAAAAACGUCAAAAAAAGCUAACAUAAAAUAAUUAAAAAAAAUUCGUGAAAACUUCAUAUUUUUUAAGACUAUACUUGACGUUUUUUCUUUAACAUAGUUCAUACUUGACGUUUUUUUAAUAAAAACGUCAAGUAUGUAAAAGUUGCUAGCGUCAAGUAAACUCAUUUUUGUAGUAGUGAAUGUGUAAAGCUCCUUAUCGCAAGAGCCUAAAUUGCAUGAUGCUCUUAGUCCACAAGAGCUUAAAAGGUGAAUGACAAAAAAAAAAAAAAAAAAACAACUCAAUUGAACUACGUUAUGACUUGAUCUCUGUGUUAUAAAAAGGAUACGUAGGCAGCUUAAAGAUUACUUUAAGUUCAGUCACACGAAAAAAAAAAAUUAUGCUUCAUCGUGAUGAUGUAAUCUCAAUAGAAAAUGAAAUUCAUGCAGUUACAACAGAAAAGAAAUGGGACAAAUGGGGCAAAGUCAAAGUAGCGAGCUCUACCUUUUCUCACAAGUGUUGCAGCUGAAAAGAUAUUCAUCUUCAUCUUCUCUCAAGUGUUGCAGCUGAAAGGAUCUUUAUCUUCACCUUCUCCAUGUGUUGCAGAGAGGAUUCAUCUUCACCUUCUCCAUGUGUUGCAGUCGGAAGGAUUUAUCUUCAUCUUCUCCAUGUGUUGCAGCCAAGAGGAUUCAUCUUCAUCUUUUCCAUGUGUUGCAGCCGAGAGGAUUCCUCUUCUCCCACGUAUUACAGCCGAGAGGAUUCAUUUUCAUCUUCUCCCACGUGUUAUAGUCAAAAGGAUUCAUCUUCAUCUUCAUCUUCUCCCACGUGCUGUAGCCAAAAGGAUUCAUCAUCAUCUUCUUCCACGUGUUGCAGACGAGAAGAUCAUCAUUUUCAUCUCCUAGGUGUUGCAGUCGUUAUCAUCUGCAUCCCCGAUGUGUUGCAACCGUCAUCAUCUACAUCUCUGAUGUGUCACUGCCGACAUCAUCUGCAUCUUCGAUAUGUCGCUGUUGUCACCAUCUGCAUCUUCGACGUGUCGCAGUCGUCAGAAUCUCCAUCUGCAUGUGUUGCAGUCAUCAUCAUCUGCAUCUCUGAUGUGUUGCAACCGUCAUCAUCUGCAUCUUCAAUGUGUUGCAGGCGUCAUCAUCUGUAUCUUCGAUGUGGCUGUCACCAUCAGAAUCUUCGACGUGUCGCAGCCGUUAGAAUCUUCAUCUCCAUGUAUUGCAGUCAUCACCAUCUGCAUCUUUGAUGUGUUGCAGUUGUCAUCAUCUGCAUCUUCGAUGUGGCCGUCAUUAUCUUCGAUGUGUCGCAGCCGUCACCAUCUACAUUUUCGAUGUGUCGCAGCCAUCAGAAUCUCCAUCUCCAUGUGUUACAGUCAUCAUCAUCUGCAUCUCUGAUGUGUCGCAGCCAUCAUCAUCUGCAUCUUCGAUGUGGUCGUCAUCAUCUUUGAUGUGCCGCAGUCGUCACCAUCUGCAUCUUCGACGUGUCGCAGUCAUCAAAAUCUCCAUCUCCAUCUUCGAUGUACGAAUCUUCAUCUCCAUCUUCGUCUUCCAUGUGCUCCAGUUGGUCGAAUCUCCAUCUCCAUUUUCGUCUUCGAUGUGUCGCAGUCAAUUGGAUCUCCAUCUUCGAUGUGUUGCAGCCGAUCGGAUCUCCAUCUCCAUCUUCGAUAUGUGGAUCUUCAUCUCCAUCUCGGUCUUUCAUGUGCUGCCGUCGGUCGAAUCUCCAUCUCCAUUUCUGUCUUUGAUGUGCCGCAGUCGAUUGGAUCUAUAUUUACAUUUUUGUCUUCGAUGUGUUGCAGUCGAUCAGAUCUCCAUCUCCAUUUUCGUCUUCGAUGUGUCGCAGUCCGAUCGAUCUCCAUCUCUAUUUUCGUCUUCGAUGUGUUACAGCCGAUCGGAUCUCCAUCUCCAUUUUUGUCUUCGAUCAAGCUUGGUGUGCUCCACCAUAUAAAUUGACCAAACUUCGUAUAACAUUUUAAUCACACUUAUGUCCAAAUGCAUAGUAUGAUUAAAUUGACAUAUUAACUAGAACCAAAUCCAAGAACAAAUUCACUUAUUUCAGCUUAUCGUUUUCGAGAUUCACCCAUCAUAUAAACGUGCACAAAUCUCUAAAAGGAGACAUUUGUUGAGCAAGAAAUUUUGACCAAUUAAAUUACGCCACAUCAUCACAAUAAAUAUGAAUGAUUAUACUUUUGUUUGAGUUUGGAUAAUUAAGUUUACUCAACCCAACUCAAUUCAUAUCCAACAAAAAAAAUGGGCUCAAGCCCAAGUCGAAUAAGCAGAUGGGCCCAAGUUCAAACUCAACUCACAAAUGGGCUCAAGUCCAAGCCCAACAAUCAAAUGGGCCCAAGUCCAAGUCUAGCAAGCAAAUGAGCCCAAGUUCACCUAAAGCCCAUGAAAUUUCUCUAUAAAUAGAGACCAUUGCCAUUCAUUUUAAAAGGGGUCUUUGGUUGAAUAAAGAAUUGAACCUCUGAAGUACUGAAGAAUUGAAGAUUCAAACUUCUACAAGCUCUCAAGACGUCAAAGUUCAUAUCAACCUGGAGAUCAACAACUUCUGAAAGUUGGAAGAUUAAACUUUCCUUGGUUCCAUAAGAUCGAAGUUCAAAUCAACUUGCAACUACAAUAUCCUAAAGAUCGAAGAUCAAAAAGUUAUAAGUUUUAACUUGUAUUCGAGAGAAAGCAUCAAAUGAGUAAAUACUAGAGGUUGUAUGCACAAUAUUCAUCAAUAUAUAAAGUUCAAUUCCACGAAAUACAUUUAUUCGAAAUCUCGUGUGAACAGUGAGAAUAUGGUUAACCAAGUUUAAAUAUAUAAUGCAACAAUACAAACGUAGUGACCAUAAUCACAAAAUUUAAACCGAACUCAAACAACACAUGAACAUAAAAUAAAAAGCAACAUACCAACAUUGUUUACUAUCGAAUAAUAGUCCAAAUCAAUCAUGGAUUGGUCAAACAUUAUCUUUAGGAGAAUAUUACAAAGAAAAAAAAGUAUGAAAAAGUGCAUUUUAUAAAAUAUUAUUAUAACUAAACUAAAAGUAUUUUCUUGAAUAACCUAAAAAAACUCAUUUUUGUUUAACAUUUUUUCUAAAAACUUCUUAAAAUAAAAACACAAUCGUGUUUUAAAAUAUAUAUUUUAAAAAAUAUUUAUACGUACAAAUUUCUUUUGUUUGUUAUAUAUACUAAAAAAUAUUUUUAUAAAAAAUCUUCAAGACUAAUCGAUGACAACGGUCGUCGAAGUUGAUUAUCGGAAGUUCGUCGAUGGAGUCACUAGAGAUGAUGGUGGGAGAUUGGCCGACCAUGAUCAUUGAAGAUUAGCCUAAACCCAAAAGAUAAAUAAUUUUUUUGUAAUAAAAGUAAACUAACAUUUGACUGAACAAUUUUCUCUAUUCCUUUUGACUUCUUUUGGAUUUUUUUUCUUUUUCAAAAUAAGAAUGGUCACUUUGAUUCUCAAUUUUGUCGGAUUAUAAUAAUUUAUACUCAAACACAUAUUAUAAUAACUCGUACUAUAAUAAUUUACACAUAAACACAAAUUAUAAUAACUAAUAUUAUAAUAUUAUGUACCCUAAACACGACUAUAACAACUUAAACUAUAAUACUAUGCACCAAACUUCUCCUAAAAGAAUUUGUUUAUAUGAAUAUGAUGUCUCUCUAAAGAUGAAGAAACAAUUUAUUUAUAGAGAGUGAUAUUGCAAAAAGUUAGUGAAACUUAGGAGUGAGCAUUGACUUUAAAAAAAUCAAUUCAAACAAUCGAAAUUAACCAAAUCUAUUUAUUAUUUAAUAUUAAAUAAAACAAACCGCUCAUAGUAAUGUCUCGUUCCUAGAUUUGGUCGAUUUCCUAAACCUUAAGUCUAUAUUUUCAUUCUAUAGGUUUUGUUUACAGCACUCGGGUGAAAAAAUGGCGCCCAAGGGAAAGAAAACCAAUAGCCCUACUAGCGACAGCGACGAGGACGAAACCUUCUAUUACCGGUAUCCCUCCGCCCCCUCUUCUGACCCGUCGCUGCCGUCGUCUUCACAGUCGCACUUCUCAUCGCAAUCGCACUCACACUCACACUCUUCCACUAAGUCUGGCGGUGGUUCUGGAGGUUUGGUUCCUUCGAAGUCUACUCUCUAUGUUUCCAAUUUCGACUAUUCACUCACUAAUUCCGACCUCCACACUCUCUUCUCCAACUUUGGUAAGAUCGCUCGUGUUACGGUGUUGAAAGAUCGACAGACUCGCAAGUCUCGCGGCGUUGCCUUCGUCCAGUUUAUUUCUCAGGACGACGCGGUGAAGGCCGCGAAACAGAUGCACGGGAAGAUUUUGAAUGGCCGUGUUCUUAAGGCUGCUAUAGCGACUGAUAAUGGUCGUGCCGCUGAGUUUAUAAGGAAGAGGGUUUAUAAGGAUAAGAGUAGGUGCUACGAGUGCGGCGCAAUUGAUGGGCAUUUGUCUUAUGAAUGCCCUAAAAAUCAAUUGGGGCCAAGGGAGCGACCAGAACCGAAGCGGGUAAGAAGGGGUGGAGUUGGUGCUAGGCACGAGGAGGAUUGGGGAUCGGAUGUUGGAGAAGGGUUUGAGGAUGACAAUUGGGCCUCGGUGGUGGACGGAGAUGCAGACCAGAGACUCCUGACUGGCGGUGAGAACAUUGUAGAGAAGAAAAAAGAGAAGAAAGCAAGUUAUUUCAGUGACGAGAGCGACGAAGAUGAUUAACUGAGCCUGUCUCUUUGGGAAGAGUUUGUAAAAGGUGCGUGGUUUUUACUAUUGUAUUGUUUUUAUCUGCCGUUCCAUUAUAUUUUGAACCUCUAUUUCUGGUUGAUUUUGGUGCAUGAUUUUUGGGUGGCAUUGUUAGAUGAGAUAAAGCUUACAGAGUUUAGAUUUUGGGCUGCCGGGUGCGAUAAGUAAUAAUGAGUUACAGGUAUGUAGUCUACACUUCGUGGUAAUGUCAGGAGUAGUCAGGAUUGGAAUACUAACUCUUAACCUAUGGCACUUGCUCUCCACCAAUAGGUUAGUAAUUGAAACUAGAAAUGUUAUGUUGAAUUCAAAGACUCUCUUUGGAGAGCUGAAAUGUAUGAGUUUAAUUUACAAAUCGGCUCUAAAACGCUGAAUCCAACCAUUGGUUAUUGAUUACAUUACAUUACAAUCUCAUCCGAUGACGGUCUACCGAAUACCCCAAGGAUUUAGGCACCGCUGUUAACAGUAUAUGAGCACUACACUGGAAUUUGGAAGUGGUAAUAAAUACUCAUCUUCCAAUGCCUCCUGUUUUCUUUUAAGAGUUAAGGAUUUCUGCAGUCAGAGAGUAUAAGUUGCUUAUUCAAUCUCAUGAGCAUGAGCAAUAUUUGUAUUUUUGUACAUUUUGGAAUUCCCAUAUCAUGAUCUCGGCGUUUAAUGCCAAGGGCUUGAUUUCCCAAUGUGCCAAGACUUGUCCAAAGGAUUCUUUGAUCAAACAUUAUUGUUAUUAUUAUUCUUUUUGAGGAGACAUUUCUUUUAUCAGAAACAUAUAAAUAAUUUCAUUGAUGGGAUGAAAUUACAAAAGAGCACAUAUGCUGCGAGAGAUUACAAAGAUUAUUCCAUUGUGAUAUAAGAGAAGUAAGAUUGUAAUAAUGAAAGUGUGGGGUGAAUUUACACCAAGUGAAGGUUGUAUACAAAAGAUGAUCGAAAAGUGAGUGAAGUCGGAUUCCUUAUCUUUGAAAGUACGAUGGUGGCAUUUGUUUCAGAUGAGCCAAAAGAGAACUCUUCACUAAGAUUAGAUGAAAAGCAAGGGUGGGGAACUCCAGAAAACCCAAGGGACUUGGGAGAAAAAUCAAUCCAAUGACAUCAAUCGAUAAUGAGAGUGAAGUCAUUACUUAAACCUUUAAAGUGGAUACACGUUCACCAAUUUUAAGGUUCAUACCUUGUGGUUUGGAUCAGUGUUAGGUGUCUGCUCUCUUCUAGUUAGCAUCAUAGUUCAACAUUUUAACCUAAUAUAUUGUAAUCCUCUUCUUCCUACUGACUAUUUGUCCAUUUAGGCACAUUUUCUAAUAAUUUUGCUUUUAGUUUUGUUUGUUUUCUUCUGUUCAAAGACUAGGAAAGAAAAAGUAGUUUUCAAGAACAUUUUUAUCAAUUGUUCAAAGAAGUUUAGUCAUAAGUAAUUUUCAUAAGCAUAAUUUUGUGAAACAAAAUUGUUGCCAAAUAGAGGCUUAAGUUUUUUUAGCUUUCAACUUGACUUUGUGAUCAAUCUCUUCAUGUUUGUUUGAAAGAAGAAGGCAUUUGCCACAUUUUAGCGAAGAAGGCAUUUGCCACAUUUUAGCUUUCUCCCCUUUACCACUUUGUUUUAGUGGAGCUACGUGAGGAAAAGGUGCCAUGUCUCUGAACUAUUUUGAUUUAUCAUUCAUAUAAUUUCUUACUUCUAAAUCUCUGAUGUACCGCAAAAAAUAUUGCUAAUAUAUUUGAAUCUAUCUAUUCUAUAACUUAUAUUCUUGCACUUUCAAUGCUUUGAUCAUAGUCACAAGAUGUGUGUGGAAACAACAAAAUGCAACCUUAAACAUAUUGGGUUAAAGAAAUAUUCGAUAUCACUGAUUUCAACUUUUGAUUAUCACUGAUUCAUCUAUAAUUUUGGCUGGAUCCAUGAUCUUCCUAACUCAUAGUAGUAUAUGUUUAUCAUAACCAAUACGUCUUACUGUCGUUACAACAUCUUUGUGGGUUUUUGUUAUUGUUUUGCUUUGUUUUAGCUGUUGGUUUAUUUGACUAGUGACUUACAUGAGAUUUAGUCUACCUUGACAUUUCUCAUAACACGACCCGUCCUUGUCUUCUGAGCUAAGAGGAUCAGGCUUAGUCAAGUCUACCGUCACAUUUCAAUUUAAUGAUCUAUUAUGUUUGAUUUUUCGUGAAUUUGUGUUACUUAAUAUGAUCUAUUUUGUUUCUCGCUUAUCAAAUAAUUGGAAUUAAGAGGAGAUUUGUUUAACAUUUGAUGAGAAUGGUGAUGCGUUAAAGAUUCGAUUUUAUUGCAAGUGUCUUCGUGAGAUUAUGUCUUUCGGUAGUGUUGAAAGAGCUACUGUUUCUAAUUUUGGUUCAUUUCUUGUUAUGGGAGAUUGGUUUAAGAUAUGGAAUAAAUGUAGUUCAUUUCAGGGUAAUAUGUUGCAAAGCUUUUUAAUAUUCCUUCACACAACCAUGGUUCCCUGUAUUCAGUCACCUUUAUUUUCUUGUGGCAGGCUACAUUAAGAUAUAUCAAGGUUGGAGACCAAAGUUGAGAGGCUAAAGUCGGUAGUACAAGUUAAAGAUAGGGAGAUUGCAACAGUUACACGAAUAGUACAAUCUCGAGACUUGUCUAAAUUCUAUGAUUUCUCUCUAUUUAACAUUGAACAAGGAAGUUCUUUUCCACAGGAAGCCAAAGGUAAGGCUGCUUUUAAAGCUCAAAUUGACAAGCUACAGUAGGAAAAUGUUGAACUCCAGAGAAGGGUUAUUGGCAAUCAGGUUAUGGUAGUUGGAUGCUGUGAGAUAGAUACUAGUUUCUAUGUAAUAAUUUUAGUACUAAUGUUGUUUUCUGUUUGUGUGCAAAGCAAGUAAGAACUCAACAAAUACAUGAGAUGAAGAAGAAAGAAAAGGAGUACAUCAAAUUGCAGGUGAGAACCUACAGGGUAUAGGAAUACCUACAGGAAAGCUGGAUAUGUAUGUUGCUGCUGCUGGCAUAAACCCUCAAAGAGUAUGUUUUUCUUAGACAAGCUCAACGCCCUCCCUUCAUCCAAUGGUUGUUUAUCCAACUUGAUUUCAAUCAGUUGUGGCUAUUGUUUUAAUUGUUUAUAGGAUUGCCUGCAUUCAGAUUGUUUUAUCUUCUCAUGUUGGGCUACUUCCAAGAAAUUUUUUAAGCGAAGGGUGGAUAAUAGCUCGCUUGUUUAGUCUAAACUUGGGGGAUUUCAAAUUUUGCCCAAAUUUCAAAAUUUUUCAAAAGUUUUUCAUUACAAUAACGAGCAUCAUAACUUCUUAGAUCUUGCAUAAAAGGCAUGACUGUCAACCCUUGAGCACUAAGCUCGGGUUUGUGACGUGAGAUUCUGAAUUUUGAGAAUAAGCUUAUGUCCUUUUUGUUUUUGCUAAGUUUCAACUAAUACACUCGGUAUUUAUCUUUGUGCUUAUGUGAUAGAUUUGUUAUGCACUGUAGUGAUGUGGGGUGUUUCCUUAUUUUCUGCAUCUUAACUACCUUAUUUCCUGCAUUUUAACUAUCUUAUUUCCUGC
rnacentral:lncRNA from 1 species